rnacentral:lncRNA from 1 species
AACUUAUGGAUGCGUUUGGUUCGCAUUAUGAAAGAUUACUAGGAAUAAAAGAUAUUCAAGAAUCUUAUUCCUAUUCAUUCUGUUACUAAGAAUGUAAAAUUUCUGUGUUUGGUUCGCACGGUAACAUUAAUUAGCCAUGUUAUUUAAUAUUAUAAAAAAUAUAUAAUUAAUUAAUUUAUUUAUUUAUUUAAUUUUAGAUAAUGUUACCAAAAGUUUCAACAUUUAUUUAGAAAAAAGGGAGAGAGAGAGUAUAAGUUAGAGAGAGAGCAUAAUUAAAAAAAUAAAAAGAAAAAUAUAGUCGAAAUUAGAGGGAGUGAGAGAGUUGAAAUUUUAGAAAGAGAGCGAGAGAAAAAGCUUAGUUUAGAGAGAGAAAAAAAAGUUGAAUUUUAGAGAGAAAAAUAAGUUUAGAGAGAGAUAUACGGUUAGAGUGUAAAGAAAAAUAAUAUCAAUUAGCCGGCGGGUAGGAAGAAAGAAAAAGAUUAGACAGAUUACCCCAAUCCAUUAAUAUGAGGAUACCCACCAUCCCUCAAGGAAAUGAGAUUAGUAUUUUGGGAUAAAUCUUAUUCCCAAGUGAAUUCAGUAUUACCAACUAGAUUACUUAGUGCGUUUAGCCAAACACCGUCAUAUUUUUUUAUUCCCAUUGAAUUAUUAGGAAUUUUUAAAAGAUAGCGCAAACCAAACGCACCCUAUAUGUAAUCCAAAGGUAUCUCCUUGAAACUUUUGGAUCGUAUGAUUCAUAUCUGAACCUCCUUAACGCGAUGCUAUAGUUCGAAUAAUCCCCUCCUUAGCCUCCAUGUUAUUUGGCCGAAUGUAUAAUAUAAUGUGGGUGAUAUUUUUACCUAUUAAUUAACUUAAAUAUUUGAACAAAAAAUUACAUCUUUACGACAAAAUUAUCAAUUUUUUUAUAAUUAUUUUAAGUUUUCAUCAAUGUUAGAAGGAGAAUAAAUGUUUGUUUUGAAAAAAAAUAUAGCAAGUUAUCUGCUUCAUUUAUAAAGUGGUAUGAACUUGACAAUAUAGGUGAGAUUACUAAGGCGUCAAAAAAAGAGAAAAUCAAAAAUCAAAAAAUAAAGAGAGAUAUAGAGGGGGAGAAAGGUUAAGCUACAAGUAUAUAAUUAACGGUAUUGUUCUAACUAAUCCUGCGCAAAUAAAUGCAUACAGCGAAGAACUUGAGUUGGAUUUGAGUCUCGUCCCCUAAAGAUAAUACUAUUUCUGUGAGACCCCAGAUAGUCCUAUAUAUAAGAUAUAAUAGGACUAAAACUCUUAGCCCGGUUUAAACAUUUUGGGCGGUGGUUAGGUGCAAAAAGUUAAGAGAGUUAAGCGUGCCUGGACGAGAGUAGUCCUAGAAUAGGUAACCCCUGGGAAGUUGGGGCAUUACAAUUUCUUUCUAGCCAGAUUGCCCACCAUGUAGCUGAAAGUUUGGUAAAUUUAUUUAUUCAGCUGUGGCUGUCAAUCUUACUGCAACGUUCCUCCCAAAGCCCUGUUAUACCGUACUAAGGCGACGUGGUAAGCAAGUCAUUUGUUGAGUAAACAAACAAAUACUGAAAGUAAAGACAUCUUGAAAAUAGGUGAUUGCAGGUUUCAACUUCAUUGGCAGAAAGCACACAUAGCUAUUCUGCUGUCCAACCCCGCUUAAAAAGAUUGUCUGCAGUGAGUACCCUUCUUUUGAAUGCUAAUCAGAUAAAAAUCGUGACCGUCAUUGAAAUUUUAAGCUUCCAAAUAUGAUUACUCUAUGGAUCUCUCAGUCCGCCACUUGAAAGAAAGUUUUAAAAAAUUUGACAGAAAAGUUGCUGUCCAAGUUAGUAACUAUUAAAUUUUUUAAAGUUUUAAAAUUGCUAUCUCAUUAUUUAAAAAUUUAUUUUAUUUAAACUAUCUAGUAAUAUUUUUAUCUAAAAAUUUAAAUGUGUUAUUUAUUGUGUGGAUUUGAUUAGUAUGUUUUAAGUAAAAACGCACAUAACUUACAUAAACUAUGGACUAUUUGAAUCGGCUAUCCAAUCUUUCAAAAUUUUGAUUUGAAUAUCAAACUUCCAAUUUGUUUAAUUUAAAUUAGUCAACGACAUAUCGAUUUCAAAAUUUACACAUUAUUUAUUUAUUUUUAUGAAUUUAUAGUUACGAGAACUGCAUCUAGUAUACUAAUUAAACUUGUAAAGAUAAAUGACAAAUUCAAAAUUUGAAAUCAAGACGUCGUUGACUGAUUCAAAUCAAACACUUGAAAAAUUGGAUAUUAAUGUCAAAAUUUUGAACGAUGGAAUAGCUGACUCAAAAUAGUUCAUAGUUGAAAUAAAUUCUGCAUGUUUUUUUACUUAUAUUUUAUGUAAGUUGUGUAGUUAUAAAUUUACUAUAAUUAAAUGAUAAAUUUAUAUUUAUAUCAAAAUAAUCAUCAAAUAAUUUAAAGUAAAUAAAUUUAAAAAUUAAAUAAUAAAAUUAAAAUUGUAAAAAUAUAAGAUAGUUAAAUCAAAACUAAUUAUAGUUCAGAUAAUUUCAAUAUAUUUUUACCUAUAUAUAUUCAGAAUUUUGGCUUGGUUUAGCUGAAAAAAACCAUAAAAUGAAAAUAUAAACUAUUGAAAAGCUCAAUUUCCUGGGAGGAGAGAAAAACAAAGAAAAGUUACAAAUAUUCUCGCUAAAAAUGAUAUUUGAAUAAAAUAGGUAGCUCUAAGGCCCCGAUUGUGUUAGAGUUUGAACCAACUCAAAAUAUUAAGUUCAUAGAUACUAAUAUUUUUGUAUAUUUUUUAUAGACUAUGGUGUUGUUUCCAUCAUUAUUAUUUUUAAUAAAAUGUAGAAUUAAUAGAGUUUCUAAUUUUCUAUUUUUCACUCUUAUUGAAUUUUCUCAUUCUUAUUAUAUAUUAUCUACUUUUCUUAAUUACAACUCUAGUUAGGAAAUAAUAAAGUUUUUUAUCACAUUGGAUUAGCAAGCUUACUUAUCAAGCUUAAUUUAUUUCAAAUAAUUAAGAGCAAAAGUAAAAUGCCAAAUAAUUUAGUAAUUAAAUACAAGUUUCAGAUAAUAAUGGAACUUAUUAUAACUCUGAUACAAAUCUAGCUAAUCUGAAAAAUAUAAUCCUGUAAAGUUAGGGAAGUGCAAAACUUAAUCAGCUUUAUACGAAUUAUAUUUUGUUCUAAUGUGUAAGGAGAUCCACUUAGGCUACUGCUUUGUUGAUAAUCAAUAAUAAUUUAUAUUAGGUAGAGUAAUUAAUCCUCUGUACAAUAAUGUGUAAGGGGUCUCUUCUUAAAUUGUAUUAAUUCUUAGCUUAACUUUUAUGGUUUGUUGGAAUCUUUUACUAUUGGUAAGUUGAUAUAUGAAACUAACCUAAAUUUUGACUCACUUGAAAAUGAUUAUCCAACAUGAAAUUUAAUAAUUUUAUAUUUGAAAUGAUAAAUUUAUUGCUAACUAACCAUGUUUACUGCUAACUAAUCAUACCACCUGGCUUGGGAGGUUAAUUAUAGAGGCAAAUAUUUUUGUUAAUAGCCUCUAUUAUAUGAUUUUCAUUAUGUAUAGAAAUGACAAAAUUUUUAGUUUAUAUACUUUAAUGUGCUUAGACUCUACUCGGGAUUGCAUAGAGAGAUUGCAUUACGUGCAAUAAAAAAGUACAAUAAAAAAUUUCUUGCUUGUUUUCAUACGUAUUCUCACGUUGUGUAUAUCACAGUGAGUUUAUUAUGUUAUAAUAUAUAUUUUUCUUUGCUUCCACAAAUAAAUAGAAAAGUAUAUUUUUAUAUGCUUUCGAUCUAACUUUGUUUUGUUAUUAGAUGAACCUUAAUAGCCGAGGAGCUAGCCCCUAAUAAGAAACUACCAUAUUUCACAACUUUACCGAUACCUCGUGCAACUUUCUAAUUUAUGUUACGUGACAAUUGUUUAAAUAUUUUGAAUAAAAAAUAUAAUUUUAUUGGAGAAAUACAAACCUUGAACGGAAAAUCUCGUUAAAGUAUUAUAAUUUUAUACCAUUUUUAACUUAUUUAGUAUGCCAAUAUAUUAGGGGCAUAAGUGUUCGGCUGAGCCAAAAAAAAUAGUUUUGUUUUUUGUUAUAGUAAUUCCACAUUAAAAAAAAAGACAUUAUAUCAAAUACCUUCACAAUAUUGCAUAAAAAAAUAAAUAUUUUUUACAAUAUUUUAUAUAUAGAGCUUUGUUGAGCUAUUAUUGGUAGUAAAUGACUCAGCUUAGUUUACGUAUCAUAUAUGAAGUCGAGAGAAUCGACACUCCGAUGCAUAGUUAGAAUCGGGGGUGAUCAGCCCUUUCAAUACACACGAGAGAGUCAAAGAUAGUUUGCACUUCCUGGUGACACUUCUGAAAAGUCAUAACAAAACUCAUUAUUAAACAUAAGUUCAAAUGACUUUCAGAUUUAUCAACCAUGUCCAAUACACAAAACUUUUUCUCUACUUCAAAUUAAUUAGCAUAGAGUUUGCAUGUAAGAAGCUCUCACUUUAGCUAGGUUUUGACUUAACUAAUUAAAUAAUACACAUGUUUAAUUUUUAUCAUUGGUUCACUUUAUUUGUACAUGCACAUAAUCGAUUAUCCCAAUUUCAUAUAAGAGGGUCAAAAUCUUAACUUUUUCUAGCAUACAAUUAAAAUCAUAUUUAGUUCCAUAAUUACUAUUCAAUAUGCUAAUAAUCCGAGAAAUAAUAGAUAAAGAGGUGAUCUCAUCCUUUUUGGUGAUAUUUUUCGCCUUUAUUAGAUUUUGCAUAAGGAGAUGGACUUUAUCUCGGGUUGAGCGUCCGAUUGCAGUACUCGGCGCCCACAAUAGACCAGCUGAAAGUUGUAUCGGGUGCCCGUGGGGCAACUCAGCUUCCAAACCUUCCGCGCAAUGAAACCUAUCAUCGGGUUAAAAGUCCGAAAGUUAUCCGGUCACUCGCAACUUGCGUCCAAAUCAAUAUCUGGGCAUCCGAAUCCCAAAGUCCCGCAAAUUAGAUCUCCGAAUAAACAUCCGAAUGAUCCGGGCACUCCAAUAGCCCCUAAACUCAUGUUCCGGCGUCCAAAUUAGUUUGAAAUUCAGAUUUCCAACUUUUGAAGUACCGUUUUGAUCCGAAUUAAUUUCAAUUUGGUUCAGAUCAGUUUUAACCCUAGCUCUUAAAACCCACGUUAAUCUCGUCUAGUAUCAUUUAAUCCGGGCUUUGUCCACUUAACCAAAGUCCGGUAUAUUCCAAUGUGAGUCGAUGCAUGUCGAACUUAGUAGGCUAGGGCUUAAUGACCGGACGGUACUGGUGCGGUGUGGCGUGUAGUAAUUAAAUCAAAAUAAUUCACAAUUCCGAUAAAAUUAUAUAUUAUCUUUAUUUAUAAUAAUAUAAUAAAAUUUAUUCGAAGUGUAUCUGCAGGUGCGGUGUGGCCUGUAAUAACGAAGGCUUUUUGAAAAAGUUGGCACCCUUUUAACAUUUCGGCAAAAGGCCGGGGUCGGUCGAAAGGCAAGAUCUGAAAGGCUCAACUCUCGACUCCAGGGGCAAUUUCGUCUUUUCGCAUGACCAAGAUUCUCCAGUGAAGCGUGGGCCCAAAUUACGUGUCAAAUGGGACCCGCUUUGUAGCAUCGGAUCCUCCGCAACACCGGCGGUACAAGUAGGCUACGCACUAUUUUUAUUUUUUCGUGUACCAUAAAAUGACAACUAAGUUAAGUCGGAUUCAACAAAAAUUUAGUACGAAUAAAAUUUGUAUUUUAAUUUUUAAAUUCGUUGAAAAAUACGGUUUAAAAAAAUAAAUUCGUCAAUUAUUAGGAUAUGCGAUUUAUACGAAAAUUAUACGUUCAUCAAUUAAAAAUUCGAAAUGACAAAUUUGACUAUUAAAUUAAACUUUUUUCUAGAUUUAUUCUAUUAGCAUAAAUAAUUAUACUUUUUUAAAAAUAUAAAAAUAAAGAGCUACAAAAUAAAGUAGACUAAGUAAAAAAAAGUAAUAGCAAAGUUCAAAGUCAUCUCCAUUUUCAUCUUUUUUAUGAUUUAUGUAUUCCGAAAGUUUAUAUAAUUUUUCAAUAAGUCGCGAAUAGUUCAUGAAUAAUUCGACAAUAAUUCGCGAAUAAUGUAGAAAGAGAUUUUAUCCAAAAAUUAUGCGCAUUGUUUUGACCGAAUAGGUUGGCACACGCGCGCGAAUUAUUCGCGAAUAAUAAAUCUAACACAAAAAUUCACAGCUUACAUUGAUUUUUUGGAAAUAAAUCGCAUAUUGACUGUUUUAUUCUGGUUUUCAAAAGUUCGCGAAUAUUUCGUGAACAAUUCGCGAAUUAACUAAUUCGGGUUGAAAUAGAGAAAAAUUUUUGAUAAAUAUUUUUUUAAUUUUUUCUUUUGACUUUUAAAAUUUUAUAUUUUUUCUUUUCAAAAUUUUAAUUGAUAAAUUGUAUCUCUCUCUGUCAGAAUUUCGUUGCUAUUUCGUCUAUUUUUUUAAUUUAUACUGAAAAUACUUUUAAAAAUGAUAGGAAUAUAUUUAAAAAUUAAUUUUCAUAUAUAAUUAUAAGUAAAAAAUAAUUUGGUCAUUUUGUCCUCUUCAUUAAUCCUGUAUUCGCUGAAAAUAUUUGUAAAAUUUAAAAGAGACAAAACACAGAUUUUUGAAAGUCAGACAGAGUGAUAAACGGAUAUUUUCUAAAAAAAUCCUGUAAAUUAACCUUUCUAAAUAUAAUCAAAUAAAUAUAACUACUAUUUUUUUGUGAAAAAAAUAGUAAUGGGGAUUAGAACAUCGAUCGGUUAAAAGAUCAAUUUAUUAUAACAUUUUAUAGCUACUUAAUAGCUUAUGGCCACCACUUGUAUUUUGCAUUAGAUCAAUGUAUUCAUAGAGUAAGAAAAAUAAUAAUAAUAUAAGUAUUUUAAUACUCUACAAAAUUUUUCUACGGCCUAUCCUAUUUCGAAAUAUGCUCCAAUAAUAUUAUUGAUUUUACAAACUUGAAUAAAUUUGCCCGAUAUUUAUUCUUUUACAACAAGAUUAUUUUGUCUAUUUUAUUGAGUUAGUUCAUACCUUCAAAACAAAAUGCUCAAACAAGAAAAUUAAAAAAACUCCGAGUUUGGUCGAAUUAUUGGUCUUUUUUAAUAUCUUUUAAUUAAUUACUAAGUUAUCUUGUCGUUUCUAACUAUUCUAUAUUGUAUUCGAUUUAAAAGUAGAUGUAACAUGUUUAAAUUGCGUCCGAUCGAGUACAAAGCAAAUAUAAUUCAACAAAAAAUAGCGUAUCGCAGCACAUCGUUACUCGUCUAUAUCUAUAUCUAUAUUCUAUAUUUUCUAUAUAUUAAUUCCUAGAUGACUUGCCAUGUGGUCGCAUUUUUUUACUAUUGAGUGUGGGCUCCACCUAACAAUAAUUUCUGCAUUUUGCCGAACUGGCCUAUUUGGUUCUCUAUUUUUUUCUUUAACCGCUCCACACUCGAUCUUUUCUUUCCUUGAAACUAAUCAGGGCACACCCGCCGACCUGCCAAUUCACUCUAUCUUAAACUUGAUUCUUUUCUUUAUCACAUUAAUUUAUUGAACCGGAUUUUUUUUCUUUCUAAAACUGAUUCGUUGAUCAUUUUUUUUCUUCCUUGAGCCGUUUUCUUUCUUUCGUCGAAUUGAAGUGUCCUCAAUCCUAAAAGAAAUUAGGGCACGAUGCACUGUCGUUCUCCCUCUCCUUAGCACCGCUUCUUCCAUCGUCGUUUCCUCUUCUUUCAUAAUUGUCUCCUGUGCUAAAUUAAUCCAUUUUAUGAAUCUCGAUGUUCUCUGAUUUACACUCGAUAGCCAAAGCAUUUUGCAUCACCGUUUUCUAUAUCCUGCUCGUCAUUUCCAUUUGUUGUAUUCACGCGUACCAUAUGUUUCCAGUUUCUUACACAACUGUCCAUUCGCUUUCAUCUUGGUGGUAAUAUAAUAACUAAUAUCCUUUUUCUCCGCUAUGAUAUCCUAAUUCUUUUUCGCUAUUUUUCGCUUUCAAUCUUCUCUCCCAAAGGUCUAAACUUUUUAAAUCUAGAUUUACUUGCUACACUGUUUGAUCGCAUUCCGCAUAUUAAUAAUUUUUUCUUUUAAUUAACACUAUUUUUUGUCUCAGAAAACUGAUGAUUUAGUGUGGUUGUUCUACAUCUGUUUGUUGUUGCCUUACUUCCGUACCAUUGUAAAUUUUAAUAAUUUUUUCUUUUAAUUAACACUAUUUUUUGUCUCAGAAAACUGAUGAUUUAGUGUGGGUGUUCUACAUCUGUUUGUUGUUGCCUUACUUCCGUACCAUAUGUUUCCAGUUUCUUACACGACUGUCCAUUCGCUUUCAUUUUGGUGGUAAUAUAAUAACUAAUAUCCUUUUUCUCCGCAUAUGAUAUCCUAAUUCUUUUUCGCUAUUUUUCGCUUUCAAUCUUCUCUCCCAAAAGUCUAAACUUUUUAAAUCUAGAUUUACUUGCUACACUGUUUGAUCGCAUUCCGCAUAUUAAUAAUUUUUUCUUUUAAUUAACACUAUUUUUUGUCUCAGAAAACUGAUGAUUUAGUGUGGUUGUUCUGCAUCUGUUUGUUGUUGCCUUACUUCUGUACCACUGUAAAUUUUAAUGUAUUUCUGUGCUUCUGUAAGCUAUUAAUUUUAGUUAUUUUCUGCUUACAUAAAAAUAUUGAAUGUAUAACCGAUUGUUACACUAUUUUUGCUUUGGAUAUCCGAAUUAUUUUUCUUAAAUUAAUAUUGUUAUGUUUGUCACAAAAAUUGACAGCGAUUUAGUGCAAUUGUUCUACAUUUGUUUGAUGUUGCCUUACUUUCGUGCUACUGUAAGUUCUAAUAUAAUUCUAUACUUCUGAAAGAUUGAAUGUAUUGUCUAUUUUUAAACUGUUCUUCUUUAAACGCGCUCUAGUAAGAAUUUUAUUGUCUAUUAAGAUGUUUCUAAUCACAUAUAUUUUUUGUCUUAGAAAACUGACAACGGUUAGUAGGAUUAUUCUACGUCUGUUUGUUGUUCCCUUACUUCCGUACUAUACUGUAAGUCCUAAUGCAGUUUUGUACUCCCAUAAACUCUUAAUUUUAGUCAUUUUUUAUUUAUAUGAAAAGGUUGAAUGUAUUGGUUAUUUUUACACUUUCAUUAUGUAUUUAUUUAAAAAUUUGUAAAAAUAUAACUUAUUAAUAUUUUUUUAUUUUUGCCCUUAUUAUUUACCGGUCGUACCGUAUAGAUCACUACACUUUUAUCAUAUAUAAGUCCUUUUUUUUUUUUUUUUUUUAAGAAAUGAACCGAAGAAUAACUGAACAAAGUUUUAUCAAAUAGAAAGACGGCACGUGUCCGAGUUGUACCGAGCGACUCGUGCGACCCAAUUUGUAGUUGAUACAAAACGUGAUUUUCCAAAAAUGACCUUCGAGGAAUUAAAUAAUAAUAUUAUUAAAGAAAAAGAAAAAGAAAAAAAAAAGAAAAAAAAAAAAAGAUGAUGGAGAUAGCAAACGCCGUAGUAAGCUGGAUACAACCAAAAAGCCGGCAAGGUUUCGUCCACCCUUCCCCAUCGUCGCCCCCUCCCCAAUUGACUAAUGCUUUGGCUUUAUCCACCCCUUUCCACUCUUUUUUUUCCUUUUUUCCUUUUUUUUUUUAAAAAAAAUAAAAAUCUUUUUGAGAUUCUAUAUUUUAUUAAUUACUUUCUCAAAAUUUUUAAAUAUAUAUAUAGAGAGAGAGUGAGUGUGUGUGUGUGUGUUUUACUAGCAUAUUAUCGGUAGUAAAUAGCUCGAUUUACUACUGAUUUUUUUUUCGAUGAUAGAACUCCCAAAUUGGUAAUCGGCAUAGUUAAAUAUGAUCUAAACUAUUUAAAUUACCUAGAAAUCAAAUUUCACAUAUUUUUGAUAUUAUUCUCAUGUUCAUCAAGUGAACAGAAANGUCCAUCAAAUAAACAGAAAAAUAAAUGACUGAAAAUAAAUAUUCUUCAAAAAGUGAUGAUACAAUUUCUGUAUUUAAGAUAUAAAGUCUAAAUCUUGUUUUAAAUAGUUUAAAAACUUUCUAACAAAGAAAAUAGUUUAUUUGAACUCUUCUAUAUCAUAGCAAUCGCAUUAUAUUGGUCAUUAAAAUUACAGAUUUUGUGACUUUUUGAUUGUUCAGUUAAUGAUAUCAAAAAAUCAUGAAAUAUGAUUUCUAGAUAAUUUAAACGGUCUGGAUCAUAUUCAAUGGUGUUGAUCGUUAAUUUGAAAGCUCUAUCAUCAAAAACAAAUCAGUAGUAAACCGAGUCGUACACUNCUAUAUAUAUAUAUAUAUAUAUAUAGUUUGGUUACUAUACUUAAUUUUAUGAUACAAUCGCUUUCGUACUCAUAGGUCGUUUUCGAUGAUAGAGCUUCUGAAUCGAUCCAUACUAUUAAACGUUAUCUAGAGUAUUUCAAACUUUUAGAAAUCAAAUUUUAUAAUUUUUGACAUCAUUUACCUUACGAUAAAAAGAUUUCAAAAUUGAUAAUUUUUAACGGUCGGUAUAAAAUACUUGUUAGUUUAGCGGUGUAAAAGAAUCGAAAUCGGUUGAAUUUUUUUAUAAAAAGUUCUAUUCACUACCCAGAUAGAGUUCAAUAACUCCGAUCUUUAAAUUGAAUGAUCCGAUCAUCUAGUUUUAGAACAUCAUUUGAUUUUGACUAUUCAUUUUAUACUCGCUUGAUGAAUUUUAUUAUUAUUUUGAAAAAUUACGAAAAUUAUUUUUUUUAAGUUUCAAAUACUUUAGAUUAUAUUUAACAAAGUGGAUCGUCGAUGCGGAAGCUUCAUCAUCGAAAACAACUUAUGAGUACGGAAGACUCUAUACUCAUAAGAGUAUAAUAGCCCAACUCUAUAUUUACAUAUUUGCAGUUAAUAACUUGCAUAUUAUAUAAUACCAUCCCUAGCACAAGUGGUAAAGGACUUGGUGGUUGGUACUGGUGUCCCAAGUUUGAAAUUUAGUUGCUUCAUAUUUUCAAAUAUGUUUAUUUUAAAAUAAAAUAAACGAAGGAUAUAUCAUAUUACCUUUCUCUUAAAAAAAAAUAUUAUUAUUAUUUUUAAAUUAAAAAAAUUUUGUUUACAAACAAAUUUUAUAAGAUUUAGAAACUAUACAACUCAAUGAAUGGAUUUCAAUCUUGAUGAUAUAAUAUUUUUCAAAACAUUUACUUUUUCAAAUUUAACUUCUAAAAUAAUUUUCGAAAUUUAAUAAGUAAAAUUAAAUAUUUCUCGAGUAGAACAUAUAUAAAUGGAUAUCAAGUAACAUAAAAAUAAAAAUUAACGUUAUAGGGGAGAAAAAAUCUAAAUUGUAUAUAAAAUUGAUGACAAAAAUGUAUGGAUCAUAUUAUAAGUAACUUUUAAAUAAUGUACGGAGCAAUUCUACUAUGGCUUAUUUUUCAAAACUUACUGAUUAAGAUAUUACUUAAUUUUUAUACUUUUUGAUGUAAUUUGUAACACUUAGAAAGCGCCAUACCAAAAUCAUGAUAGUGAUAAACUUUUUUGGUCUAAAUUUAUUGGUAUUAGGUAGAUGAUGAUCUGUGAUAGACCGAUUUAGGCAAUAGAGAGUUGGGGAAAGAGUGAAUAUGAAAUUACUAAAAUGCCCACCUGUGUGACGGUGGAGAAGAAGUAAGAGGAUAUUUUCAUCAUUUAACAUUUUUGAGGUGCGACCGACCGUCCUUAGAGCAAGUGGCGAAGGACUUGAUAGUUGGUACUUGCGACCCAAGUUCGAAUUCUAGUUGAUUUAUAUUUAUAACUAAGUUUAUUUCUAAAUGAAAUAAACGAAGCAGGUAAUGUGCUACCUAUCGCUAAAAAAAAAAGAAAAAAAAAGAAAUAAGUUUUAGUACUAACAAGUGCACCUCAAAAAUAUAUAUAUAUUUUUUUUGAGAGAUAGGUAACACGCUAUCCGCUUCGUUUAUUUCAUUUAGAAAUAAACUUAGCUGAAAAUGUGAAUCAACUAGGAUUCGAACUUGGGUCUCGGAUACCAACAACCAAGCCCUUUGCAACUUGCUCUAGGGAUGAUCGGUUACUAAAACUUAUUUCACGGUACUUAAGUAUAUAAGAAAUAGGAGUUGAGCUAAAAUGCUAUCGUUAGUAAACGGGAUUCAUUGCUACUUAUUUAUUUUUAAUGAUAAAACUUUCAAAUCGACAACCGACACCGUUGAACGUGAUCUAUAUUAUUUGAAGUGUUUAGAAAUUAAGUCGCAUUCAUUUUCGAUAUUGUUUUCUUAUCCAUCGAGUGGACAAAAAAAUAAACGGCUGAAAAUGAAUAAUAUUUAAAAAGUGAUGAUAGAAAUCUUAUAAUCAAGAUAAAGAGUAUAGAAUUUGUUUUAAAUAGUUUAAAGAAUUUCUAACAAAAAUUCAAUUGAUUUGGAUAUCUUUACACCGUUAAAUGAAAAAACACAUCAUAUCGAUCAUUAAAAUUAUAAAUUUUGAAACCCGUUGAUCAUUAGGCAAAUGAUAUAAAAAAGAUUUGAAAUUUGAUUUCUAAACACUUCAAGUAGAAUAUAUCAUAUUCAACGGAGCUGAUCAUCAAUUUGGUGGAUCCAUCAUAAAAAACAAAAAAAUGGCAACGAAGCCCGUUUACUACCGAUAACAUUCCAGUUCAACUCUAAGUAAUAGAUAGGAAUAAUUUAAUCAUAAGGGUCCCUUCUAGGAGACAAUAAUUUUAUGAAUGUCCCUCUAAAUUUAAAAAUAUCAUUAAUAUCCAUCUAAAAAUAAAAAAAAUUCAUAGAUAACUUUAUUAAAAGUUAACAUUCCAUCAAAAAAAUCAUCCAAUAUUCUAUAAAUAUUAUUUUUACCCCUAGCACUAAUUUAACUAAGUGUAAUAUUUAAGGUUAAUUAUAUGAUUAAUUUUUAACAUUUGAAUCACAUGAUAAUUUAAAAUUCUCUUUAAAAUCUUACAAUUAAAGAUCUUCAGUCUAUUAAGUAUAAUAAUUAAAUCUCUUUACUUUUAAAUUAUACAUAAUUGUAAUGCAAUUAUCCAUAGUAGUAUUCAACAUUAAUUAUUUUAAGAUUUAUUUUUUUUAUUUUAUUUAAAUAACUCGCAUAUCUCACACUAAAAAUAUUUUGAUAUCAAAAUUCUUGAUAUUAGACUAGCUAUUUCUUAUAUGACACACACAUACACACACACCCUGUCAACCUAAGGGUUUUUUAAAAAAAUUUUAGCAAUUGAGUGUAUAUUUUCCCAACUAAAUUAAAAAUUUUAUCAAAUUCAUGUGUGAGGUAUCUCAAUUAAAAAUUUUUUUUAACUUAGUAAAGCCCAAAUAAAAAAAGAAAAUACUAAAAGUUCAAGGGCUUUUACCGUUAAAAAAUUAAAGUUAAAGGGAUCUGUUUCAAAAUAACGUAUAGGUAAGGGGUUUCCACAUAUUUUUACUGUUAAUUGAAAAUUUAUUAUCAAUAAUAAUAAAGUAAAAAUAUAUGAAGACACUCUCAACCUGCAGUUCCCUUCAACGCGGUCCUAACUUGAAAUUAUAUAUAUAUACACCAUCUCAUCUAAAAGUUUUUUAAAAAAUUUUAGCAAUUGAGUGUUUUUUCCUAACUAAAUUAAAAAUUUUAUCAAAUACAUGUGUGAGGGAUCUCAAUUGAACAAAAUUUAACUUAGUAAAACCCAAAUAAAAAAAAAAAAUACUAAAAGUUCAAGGGCUCUUACUCUUAAAAAAUUGAAGUUAAAAGUGUCUAUUUCAAAAUGACCUAUAGGUGUGGGGUUUCCACAUAUUUUUAUUCUCUAAUAAUUAGUACUAAAAAUAUUAUUUUUAAAAUUUAGAAGAGUACUCGAAAAAUUAUCCCUUAAUUAUUUGUUGCCAAAAUAACACUCCAGCUUUUCUGGGAUUUGUUAUUUUAUAAUUUAACUUUUAUUUAACUAAACCUUAAUCAUGUUAAAGUAACGGUUCGUCACGAAAAAGUAUAAUUAUGAUAAUUUUCUAUAUUUAAAGAGAUAUAUGUGAUAUUUUUAAUUUUGUGGAGAUAAUUAUGAUAUUUAUAUAGUAGAGAGCAUGGCUGUGAAAUUACUUGUAACAGAUAGAUAAUAGCUGUGUGGAUUGUCCUUUUAUUAUUACUAGUGAAGGAGCCCGCGCUUCUCAGUGAGUAAAAAUUAUAAGAGAAAUUAAUAAUAAGAGAAUAUCAAAUAUUCUCUUGUAUACCUCACUUAUCAUAGUCACAAAAGAUCCCUCACUAUUUGUAGCGGGGAAGGAACCGACGACGCCUUCUCCAGCAACAGUGAUAAUGAAAAUGACGACGAUCUCUUCAGCCAUGGCGGAGGGGGGAAAUGGGCCCGCAUUAGUGAGAUAAAGAGGGAGGGAGGUGAUGGUGUAUAGAAAAAGAUGAGGGAGAGAGGAAUGAUAAAUUAAUUGGAGAUGAAAAAUCUAGUGGAGGAAAAGUUUGACAAUGUAAAUAUUUAGAUGUAUUAAUUAAAUGUAUUAAUUGAAAGUUUGAUGAAGGAAAAGGGAAGAGUUAAAUGCCGGUGAGGGUGAAGGACAACUUGACAUUGGAAGUUUGGUAAUGGAUGUCGGAUCGUUGGCAUCGUUGGCGUUAACCAUUAAUCCUAAAAGCUCGAGCUGUUAGAAAUAUGCAACCAAUUCACUUAAAGCGUACAGAUACAGUGCCCACGGAUCUCGAUUGUGACUCGGCCAAUCUAGCCUCACGUCACUUCGAACAUGACUCGGCCCACCUAGCCUCAUGCCAUUUCGAACAUGACUCGGCCCAACAUAGCUUCUCACCACAAGGUAAAAUGUUGGUCCAUUUAAGCCAACAAUAAAAAUAUUUAGAUGUAUUAAUUAAAUAUAUUAAUUAAAAAUUUGAUAAAGAAAAUGAAAAUAGUCAAAUAAUGGUGAGAGUAAAGAACAACUUGUCACGUGGCAAAAAAUAUUAAAAAUUCAUAUAAGUUAAUAGAUGACAUGGCAAAUUGCAUACGUCUCACGGGGGUGAGAGUAGUAUCAAACUCAUCCAAAAAAUAAAGCAUUUGUAGAUGAUCUAAUCGUUUGAACAGUUUAUUUGUUGUAAUGAUCCUCCCAACUCUUAUUUUUACUAACUUAUUUAUAUAUUUUUUAUAUAGUUUUAUAAGAGCAAAAUGAUACAAAUGUCUUAGUUGAUCUAUAUAUUCAAAAUAAGAUCUAGGGGCCUGAGUUGAACAUUGUUGAAUUAUAUGAAAUAACCGUUGCAUUCUAAAAAAUUUUAAAGUCCAAUAAUUAUUUUAUAUAAUUUGACAUAGUAUCAAAGAAUGAAAUUCUGAGUUUGGGUCAUUUCAAACUCCCAUUGUUAGGAUUUGAUUAGAUUUGUAAUUAAUUUUCUAGUUGGAUAAAAAUUAAUAUUUGAAUAUAUUAAAGAUAAAUUAAAAUUUAAAUAUUAAUUAGAGUAUAAAUCUAAUUAGAUGAUGAUACAUAUUUAAAUCUAUUGGUGAUAAACUAAAUAUUAAUUUAAAUAUUAUUUGGAGUAGCAAUGCUAAUUAUUCUAGAAUUUGGGUAUAUCUUGGGUGAAGCCUUAUAUAUAUAGCCCAAUGUAUACAUACAAAUUGGUGAAUGCGCCUAGGUGGUGUAUCGGAUGAGAGAGUUUUUUAUUAUGGUGAUCGUACCGUGAAAAAGCCUAGACUCGGUUGUAUGCGGUGCAUGUGAGAGAGAAAAUGAGAGAGAAUGAUAGGAGAGAUUCAAAAAGAUUGCUCAGUUGUAGCUAUUCUAUUGUAGAAAAGAAGUCAGGUGUAAUCUUCUUUUAUUUAAUAAAUUUUAUUUUAUCCGCAUAUUUUUUAUUUGGUUGUUUUUCUCUAUUUUAUAAUUGUAUUAGUUUUUACUGAGAAAACGAGUUUUAUGCUAAAAAUCUGAUUCAACACCUCUAUUGCAAAAUUCCAACAUCCAGAACUGAAUCAACAGCAAUCGGUAUCGGAGCAGGUUGCGGAUUUUCAAAAUCCAAAACCAGGCGAGUACCAGAUUCCCAACACCCACUAUAUUUAUUUUUUUCCAUUUAAUUCAAAUACAUGUCAUGAGUCUAUCAAAAAGUCUAGAGUGUUAAAUAUUAAAAUAAUAAAAUAUUAUUCUUUAUCAGGUUUUAGAGAAUAACAUUUAUUUUUUAUUUUUAAUAAACAAUGAUUGCAAUGGCAAUAUUGUUCGGAUAGUUAAUGGGAAUUCGCAUAUGCAUGAAUAUUAUUCAAACAGAUCAAAUAGAAUUACUCCCGUUAUUAAACUAGUUUAGUUUCUAAAAUUUUCACAUAUAUUACACUUCUUGUUUUUAAUGUUAAUAAUUAACUUCUAUAGAAAUGAUCAUUUGUCCUCAUUCAUUAAAAUUCUAACACAUUCAUUUAAUCCAAUUAGCGUGACAAAAAAAAGCUAUUUAUAGCAAAAACUAUAUUACUUUCAUGUUCAGGGAGUAGAGUUCAUCAUUUACUAAAAUUCAGAGACUAAAAUGUGUAAGGAGAAAGUCCAAGGACUAAUUCGCUCUCUUACUGUGACGCCCCAACUUCCCAGGGGGUCACCCAUCCUAGGAUUACUCCCAUCCUAGCACGCUUAACUCUCUUAACCUCUUGGGUCUUGCCACCACCCAAAAUGCUUAAGCCGGGUUAAGAGUUUAGUCCUAUUAUAUCUUAUAUAUAGGACUAUCUGGGGUCUCACAAUCUCCCCUCCUUUAAGCCCUGACGUUCUCGUCAGGCUCAGACUCACAAGUACCAGGCGAUGUGAGACUCAUCUCGCUAGCCCGUCAUCCAGACCCUGGCUCAGCCGAGACUCAUCUCAUACUUCCGGCUGGUAAUUGGCUCUGAUGCUAUCUGUAACGCCCCAACUUCCCAGGGAGUCACCCAUCCUAGGACUACUCCCGUCCUAGCACGCUUAACUCUCUUAACCUCUUGGGCCUUGCCACCACUCAAAAUGCUUAAGCCGGGUUAAGAGUUUAGCCCUAUUAUAUCUUAUAUAUAGGACUAUCUGGGGUCUCACACUUACAAGAUAGAGUGACUAUCUUUUAGAGCAACACUAGUUGUGCACCCCAAAAGAAGAUAUAAAUUUUACAUUUUGGACUUUGUGUGGUUAAGAUUUAUCCACACUAGUGUUUUCAAAACUUUUUUCUUAACUAAAAAUUCAAAGAAAUUUUUUAAACCCUAGAAUCCUAAGAUAUAAGAUGUACACUCCUUACAGGGAUCGGCGUACAUAAAACAUUUUCCUUAUUUUGAUGGUUUAGUUCACUUAAUCUCUGGUCUAAUCAUAAUUUUAUCUUUUGUUGUCCCUUAAUUUAAUACUAGUUAUCCUUUUCACUGGCCUGUCGUAACUAAGUUUUUGUCCAAGUAUGUCUUUUUUAGUACUUAAAUGAUGGAAGCUUGUGGAUUUUUUUAUCAUGCAACAAGGAUUGGAAUUUUAUAUUGGAUAAGAAAAAAAAUGAGUUAAAAUAAAGUAGUCUAAAAUCAUGAAGGUACUAAGGUUCUAAUCAUUAUCAUUAGAUUACUACUUUGGCAUUAUGAUAAUAAUAGCAAUAAUAAUAAUUAAUAAUAACACUAAUGAUCAUAUUUGUUACCACUUCACUAUCGGGCUUGCUUCUAAAUUUGGAAAAGAUAUGGAAACUCUAAGCUGAUUUUGUAAAACAUUUAUAGAAAAGUGAUGUCAUUAACAGAGUUUAUUUUGAUAUUUGAUGAAUAGAAUUUAUUAAAUCUGAUUAUUAAUUGCUAAAUGAAUAUGAUCAGAUAUAAUGAAUCUAUUAUGCCUCUAAGUAAAAAUGAUGGUGUUUAUGUCACUUUACAAGAGUAUGGUACGUAAUGCAUCUAAGAAGGGUACCUCCUCCUUAUCCCCACUAGCUAUUAAAGGGCUUGAACUAAUUCAAAAGGUUAAGCCCAUCAAUGGAGAAACUCUUACACAUUAUCAAUAUAGAUAUUUAAGAUUUUUAUGUAAAUCUAAUGUGAAAUAAUUACUAUUCUUAAUACCCUUGUUGACGUGUGCAAAGUGUUAAUGAAUGGCACAUAGAGAUCUAUGGCAACCACACAAAAUUCACAUAAAAAUUAGUACAUGAUACAAACCUAGCUACAUGUUUAAUACUACGUACACUACAACAGAAUAUGUUUUAGACGACGUUUUUUAAUUAGACAUCACUUUAUUCUAGCGUUUUCAAUAUUUGGCAUGUGCCGACACUAUGAAGUGUCGUCAAUAAAUAUAUUUUUAUCAGAUACUGAUAAAAUUUUUCUAACGCUAGCUAUAUUAAAGCGUCGGUAUAUUUAUCUCGAUAUGUUUACUUAACGACUUUUUGCUCGAUACUUUUGCAAGCGUUGGAAUUAUUCUUACCGUUGUUUUAGAGCGUGCUUGUUAUUAUUUAAAAUAUCUUUAAGUGCAAGAUUUGUUGAGGAACAAUAUUGGAUGGUUUGUAAGGUAGCUUAAGCACAAAGGACCAACUCUUGCCUUUUAUCUUCUGUGGUACACUAGAUAUUUUUAAAAAAAAUCAAAUUUCAUAUAUGCAAUUGAAUUUGGUAGCAUACGGCAAAUCGGCUACAAUCUUAUACAUAUAUACAAUUUUGUUUGACAAUAAAAGAACUUUAGGAAUUGCCUUUUUUUAAUUUCCUUCUCUCUAUGUUUUUUUGUAUAGCUAACAGUGAUAGAUUAAAUCAUGUAAUGAUUGUUUUUUUUUAAAAAAAAGAUAUAGGUGUGGCCCUACAACAGAAUUAGAUUAUAGGGACACAUGUUUGAGACACUUUUGAGUAAGUGUCUCAUUUAUGCUAAAACUUAAAAACACAUCUACUAAUGCCUAAAUAUAAAGCCCAAUCCAAUCAAAAAGAAAAAAUUAUUCUACUCAACCCACCACACUUAGUCCAUUUGGCCCGGUUAUAAACAGAAAAGAAAAAAAAAAGAAAAAUUAAUUACCAUCUGUUUUUCUCUUUUCACUCAAUUCACUAAAAUUCUAGACGAAGAGCCUUUACUGUCGUCCUCCUCCGCCACCGCAGCCAACGAGAUAGAGUUUCGGCGGUUGCUAAAUGCUUAAAUAAGUGUUGGUAAAUUAGCAGCACUCUUUUAGGUUAUAGAGACACUCUUUAACUGUCACUAUAUACCUAGCGACCCCACAUAUAGCAACACUUUUUAAAAUUGUCGAUAAUUUUAGCCAGCAGUACUUUUUUGACAUGUACCUAUAUUUAAAAGUGUCGUUAUAGAUCGUUUUUGUUGUAGUGGAUCUACCAAAUGAGACCUAGAUAGAAGAGUUUUUUUUCCAAAUUUUUCCUAUUGAUUGACAUAAUUAUUUGAUAUUUGGGAUGCUUGUGAGUUUUCCUACUGAAGUUGAAAGUUCGAUAUGAGCGAGAGAUCAGAGUAUACAUGUCGUGAGUUCAAUGAUACAACAAUUGCCAGCACCAUUUACUUUCUCGAGAUCGCAAGUUCAAUCUUCAAGAUCUAUACGAAAAAUAAGGUCCUUUUCCGUGGCGAUUCGAUGCAACGUUUUCCUAUUCCUAAACAGUCCAUGAGUUUUUCUACAGGUUAUGAUGUACUUUGCCUUUUACUUUUGUAUACUUUCAACUUGUUUUUCUGAUAAGUAUGAGUGUUCAUGAGACAGGGUAGGGGCCUCAUCACCCUCUCACUUAUCUAUAUUCAUGAAAGGAUUUUUGGUCAAUGAAACAAUUAAUUAUCCCAUGCUUUUACUAAAAGAUGGUUGGAACCUAAUACAUUAUUUAUUAAGUGGUGCCUUUUGUACUAAUUUCAACAUGGUUACUGACAAAAAAAAGAAAAAAAAAAAAAAAAAGCCCUAGUGAGUUGCAAAGUAAAUGGAUGAUUUAUUGAGGAAUUGUCAGUGGGUCCUCAAGAAAUUUUUAAGGAUUCUUUGGAGUUGAAGUUGUAAUAUUCUUGAGCAGUUCCCUAUUAGAAAACUGGUUUAAAGGAAAUAGAAUUGUAAAAUUAAUUAGGUUAAUAGCAAAAAGAGUGAGGUGAAUCUUAUUUGUCAUUAGACAUCAAACUUCCGGUCUAGCAAAAUAACGAAAAUUUAGAAUUGACUCUGAUAAUAUAUUAUUUAAAUAUCAUUAACUUUUUCAGUAAAUACUGAUUCCAUAGGUCAAUAACAACGAACGAUGUGUAAAAAUGAAAAAUAAAGGGCAAAAGAUAUAGAUGCCCAUUCAGUGUAACAUUAUGUGCAGAAAAAUUCAUGAUACAAUUCCGCUCCUCAUCUUUGGGAGGGAAAGGGGUGGGAGAAAAAGAAAAAAUAUCUAAUUUAGUUGUUGGAUUUCAAUCAUUCUGAUACAUUUCACCAUUAAUGAGCGGUAACUUAUACUGUAGAGAAAUUGCGCCUGAAGAUAUUGUUUAUCUAAAAUCGCCAUAAUAAUUUAAGAUAGGAUUGUGAACUCUAGUGAGUUGCAAAGUUUAUAUGUUACUACUUAUAUAUUGAAGAAUAUGUAGGUUAAAUAUGCAAUUUAUGAUAUUUUUGGUUGAAUUGCACUUUUAUAUAUUGUAACUUUUAUUGAUCUUGUAAUUUUAUAUGCAUAAAUAGUUUAUUAUUGAAUGACAAUUAGCUAAAAUAUUAUUUAUAAUUUUUUAAUGCAUUAUCUAUUAUUCAAUAUUUAAAAAUUAGUAUAAUAUUUAGUGAUAUUUGAAUUUAGAUGUUGGAUAUUAAAUUAUAAAUAGCAAUAUUUAGUAAUGUUGGGAAUAGUUGCUUUAUACUAACAUUAGCAACAUUUAGUAAUGUUGGGAAUGGUUAAAUUAUACCAACAUUAGCAACAUUUACAAUUGUUGGGAAUGAUUAUAUUAUAAUAGGAUUAGCAACAUUUAGUAAUGUUGGGAAUAAUUAGUUAUGCCAACAUACAAUAAAAGUUGCAAAAUCUACUUAUAUAGCAACACUUGUUAUGUGCCUCUUUAUGCUUAAUAUUAGCAACAUUUUACUCAAAUGUUGGUAAAGGAUUCACCAACUAGGGCAUAGGCAACGUUAAAUACUAAAUGUUGCUAAUAAUUUUAGCAUCAAUUUUAUGUUUUUUAGCAACAAUAAUAGAUGCCACCAAAACAUAAAUUUUUUGUAGUGUCUCUGGCUUAUUAUCCUUCCUUCCUGGUGGAGUUUUGCUUGAACAUCACCCUAUAGUUUGCUAUUUCCUAGUUCUUAUUUUGUCGAGCCUAGUUAAACUUCUAUGUUAGUGUUAGGUGGAGGGAGAGUACCAAAGUACUAAUCCCCUCAAAUGUGCAGUAAUGUUUGUGGAGUGAUAGUCCAACAAAAGUACUAACUCUUUAAGCUGUGUACUGUGUCAUUAUUGUUGAUCUUUUCACCCUUGAAGCUUGCCAAAGUACUAAUCCCUUCAAUGUGUAGUAAUGUUAGUAGAGUUAUAUUCCAAAAGUACUUACUCUUUAAGCUUUGUACCAUGUUAUUCCCUUCAAAUGGGGUUUCAUAAAUUAGCUAGUAAACUGUUCACUAGUAAGCGACAGUAGCAAAUUAAAUAACAUGCAGUACUUAGCUGAAAAUGUGAAUCAACUAGGAUUCGAACUUGAAAUCUCAGAUGCCAACCAUCAAACUCUUUGCCACUUGCGUUAAGGACGGUUGGUCAAAAUAGGAUACAGUAGCAAAGAGGAAAAAAAGGAUUCAGUAAAUUUUAGAAUAUAUUUUUAGAAAAGGUUAGUACGCUGUUAGCUUCGUUCUUUUUUAAAAAAUAAAAUUAACUUAAAAAUAUGUAAUAACUAAGGUUUCAAACUUAGAACUUUGAAUGCCUACUAUCAAAUCCUAUACUAUCUAUAUGGUUUAAAUAUUAAAUUUGUUAAUGAAUUGAAAAAGUUACCACUACGAGGUUUACUAGUUUUCAUAAUGGUUUAAUAAUUAUUAUGACCGCUUCAUCCAAGUUUUCAUCGGACUGGAUUAAGAAUUGAUUUAUGAUCUAACUAGAAAAAUUUAUCUAAUAUUUAUUUGAGCAGAAAAAUAAAUAAUUAUGCGGAAAACAUAUGCUCCCAUCUAGAGGAAUAUUUUCGUGUACCACAACAUUAUUCUAAGGGUGCGUUUGGUUCGAGUUAUUCUGGCAGAAUUAUAGGCAAUCCUGCCAGGAUAACUGUGUUUGGUUAAUCCGUUAUGUAAUCUAGUCGUUAAUGCAGCAUUACAAAUCGAGCAGGAUUACAUCGAAAAUAUUAACGGGAGGGGGGUCGUGUAUCUUGCAUUACUGAAACCCGUUAAUACUACAUAUUAUGUAAAAUGACAAUUUUACCCUCCAACAACUCCAAAUCUAAUUAACAGCAUUAUUUUCAUCUCUCGACUUCCCCCCGGCCGUCUCUCUCGCACGCCGCUUUCUCUCGCUCUCUCUCUCUCAACGUCUCUCUCUCUCUCUCUCUCUCUCUUUCUCUCGCACGAACACCUAUCAUCUUCUAUUGCGUCGUCCUCCUAAGUAAUCAUCACGAUCUCCUUCCCUCUAUUCGUCAUUUUCGCAAAAAAUAAUAUUCAAAUGACCAAAACAAAGGCAAUUUUGGAAAAACUAUACUUUUAUGUCAUAAUUACUAAAUUUGAUAAACUGAACUAAACAUAUUAAUGCUAUAAACACUGUAAUCUACUAUUACAUUACUGUAUUAAACCAAACGCUCUAAUGCAGCAUCAGUAGUAAUCUCACGCCGAAAUCCAAAAUACCUGGAUAUGUCGAUAUACUUUGUAAUAUUACAUAACUCGAACCAAACGGGCCCUAAAGGGCAUUUGGUUUGGCAUAAAAUAAAAUAAAAAAUUAUUUUUGGUAUUAAAAAUAUUUUUCUAUUUGUUUGGUUCGACAUAAAACUAUUCUUUCGUAAAAUCAUUUUUACAAAUUUGGGGAAAAGUUUGAAGUUUUCUGUUAUUUUUUGACGAAAAACGAAAACUCAAGCCACUAAAAUUUUUGUUUAUUCUUUUUUUUUUCACCGAACCAAAUAAAUUUGAAUUUUUUUUUUUUCAACCAAACAAAUGUUGAUGAAAAAUUAUUUUUUCACCCUACAAAUCAAAUACUACAAAAUGUAAAGAAAAAAAGAAUUCCAUCGAAAUUUUUUUAUGAAAUCAUUUCCCACAUAUCCAAAACAUUGUGCCCUGGCAUUAAUUAGUGCAUUGCAUUGUUUUCACAAUGCACAUCAUUGGGAGAUCAUCUUCUUUCUUGCACAAAGAGGCCAUUUUUUAGUACCAUGAAUAGAGAGCACAUCAAGUGUCAGAUCUUGCACAAGCAUUUAUUCCCUACGUUGCUCAGCCCCUCUAUUAAUGUGAGAACUUGCUCCUGCAAAUACUAUGCAGCAGCACAUUUAUGAGCUUGCAUUCGAUUGCGAGCCUCUUCAGAAAGUUGCAGGCCUCUGCAAGAAGAAAAAAAAAGUCUAAAAUGCAUCAGUUAUAUUAGUGGUGUGGUUUUUCCAACCAAUCAGUUUAUUUUUUUAGAAUUUAUCUAGCUAUAUAUUCUGUCAUGAUUAUCUGAAAAUUAUUUUUAUUUUACUUUUUGUAACAAAAAAAAAAUGAUUGGCUAGUUAUUGAUAAUAUGGUAGAAGUGUGACACAGUAAAUUUUCUUCUUCGUCAUAUACUUUUAAGAGCCCACUCAAGAGAGAAAAUCUUUUGAUUUUCAAAGAAAAAAUUUGUACCAGGGGAUUCAAUUAUGACAUAAAACACACACAUGAUGGUAAAAAUAAGGCUUAGUACAAACAUUAUUUCCACAUUAUUUUACGCAUGGAAGAUAAUAAUGUUUGGUAGAGGAGAUUCAGGAAUGCUUUUAGUGGUUAACUAGAUACAGACUCUCGUUGAAAUGAUUCUUUUUAGAGUCCUAUUUUUGAAGCACUUUUUAACUUCCACUAUAAUAAAACUAUUGAAUUUUUUGUGAGCAAUGCUAACCCUACAAUCACAUUUUCAGUGAUCUUACAACUCUGUUAUCCGAGCGUCAUAUUUUUCAACGAGUCUUAUCAUCCUUCUUUUUUUAUUACUAAAAUUCAGAAAAAAUAUUUUAAGCCCUAGAAGGUAGGAUUAUAAUUCUUGAAUUCAAAAUUGUACCAUAAUAUUUGGACUAGAGAUUGUAAUCCCUUUUUUUUUUUUUUUUUUUUUUUUUGGUGGGUCAUAGACUUAACAUUUCUUAUUUUUACUUUUUCGAGAUAGAAAAAGCUUGUCAUAACUCAUAAGUCAACAAGACAACUUAAAAAAGAUUUAGGAAUUUACAUACUCUUUGAUUUGGUAAUAAACUUGGGAUAGUCCAAGUUAUUGGCUAUAUUCUCCUAAUAAACACCAUAUUUUGUCUAUGCAUGAAUUAUCUUGAUUAAACCACCUAGAAUAAGUAGGGAGAAAUUGUUAUAUUGUAUUAUAUUAAAAAUUUUAAUUAUUACAUCCUAAUAAAUUUAAUGUAACAAUUAAACUAUGCAAAAUAUUACAAAUGUAAUGUAAAUAUAAAUUGUUAUUAUAUAUGUAAUACAUUAUUUAGGUAAAAAUAUAUAAAACUUAUAUGAACUAUAGAUCAUUUUGAUUCGACUACUCAAUUGUUUAAAAUUUUGAUUUUAGUACUCAACUUUUUAGUUUAUUCGAUUUGACUGAUUUGACGACUUUUCGGAUAUAAAUCUAAGUUAUAUAAUUACUUAUUUUAAUAAAUUUAUAGUUAUGCGAAUUUUAUAGAGUGUACUAAUUAAAUCCAUAAAGAUAACCAAUGGAUUCAAAUUUUGAAGUUAAAGAACCACUAACUAGCUCAAAUAAAAACAACCUACAAAUAGUAAAUUAAAAUUUUUAAAGAUUAGGUAGCUAGAUAAAAAUAGAUGAUAGUUGAGAUAAGUUUUAUACUUUUUUACAUAUUACCUAUGGAGNUCUGCACUGAUUUUUUCCUUCUUGUCUUGGCAGGCCAGCUCACAGUAAUUUUUAUUUCAAUUUAUAUCAUCAAUCCAAUAAUCUGAAAAAAAAAAAAAAAAAAAACUGUUUCUGAUAAAUGCAUCUCCAAAUAAACUGUAUUUUAAUGGUUAAAAAAAAAGAAAAAUAAAAAUUCCAGAGCUUCUCACGUAAAAUAAAGAUAGAGUGUCACUUUUUCCUGUGUGAGAUCACGAAAAUCAAAACUAAGCAUAAUAUAUAUAAUUUGUUUAAUUAUUAAACUAUAAUUUAUUUGAAUUCGACAUGAUAGUACGAGGAUAAAAUUUCAAUGGGAACUCCUCAAUGACACCGCGGAGAGCCUCCUAUCUAUUGCCACGUGUCAGUAUAUGGCCUCCAUUCAAAGGUCCGUCGAAAAUUUUUUAAUUCUAAAACUCAAAAUUCAAGUAAACUCUAGAGGAUAGAAUUAUAAUAAUUGGAUAGAGAUAAAACUGACACGCGGUAGCAAAUUGAAGGCUCAUCAACAUGGUUUCGUUGAAAAGCUUUCCACUGAAUUUUAUACUAGGUUCGCUACUAAUGAAUGAUAAUACGAUAAAUAAGGACUUAACAUAAAAUAAGUAAGAUACUAUACAUAAACUUUAUUAUAAAGUGUAAGUACAUUUUAUAGGCUAUCAUCUAAGAGUUUAUAGAAAAGAAUAAAUUAAAGAAAAUUAAUAAGGCAAUUGAAUGAAUCUUAGAUUUUUUAAUACUGUGGUUUAAGAUUAAUAUAUAAUAUUACUUAUAAAAUAAAUGAAAGAUUUGCCUAUUAAAGUCACCUUUAUUUUUUAUUUUUUUAUUUUUUUGAGAGAAAAAUAGCAAGCUAUCCACUUCAUUCAUAAUGCGGUAUGAAUUAACCUGGUAAUUAAGGAGGAAACAAAAACAACAAAAAUAGAGAGGAGAGGAGAAGGGGGGGAUGAGAUAGAGGAGAGGGACGGUGGAGGAGGAUUAAGUUACAGGUGUACAAUUAACGGCAUUGUUCGAACUAAUUCCACGUCAGUAAAUGUAUACCCCGAAAAAUCUGAGUUAGGCUCGAGCCUUGUUCUAUAAAGAUAAUUCUGUUUCUUUCUACCUGGAUUACCCACUACAUAGCUGAAGGUCCGAUCGAGUUCUUUUAACCGACUAUGACUGUCAUUUUCAACUUUCGUAGUACAAAGGCCACCAUUUCAGAUGGCCAUAGAAAGCAAAUGUUAGUGGCCAAAAUUGUGAAUAGACUUGGGGAACCAUUUUUAGUUUGCUUCAUAUUUCUCUAUGUAUGGUCGGUACUAUAUAUAUAUGGCCAAAAAGUCAUAAAAUGAAAAGGAAAAACUAGUCAGCAGGACAUAGCAAGGGAGAAUAAAUUCCCAUUUAAUAUGCUGAGAAUUUGGUUAGCAUAUUGAAACAAAGUCGCUUUGGGAUGGAAUUUUCGAAGCCCACAUGGGAUUCAGUGUGUACAAAGAGUCCUUAUUUGGGCUUAUUGGGCUAAAACAGCUUCUCUGCUCGCAAAAAUUUGAUUUCCAUUGAGCGAAAAGCUUUCCAACGAUGCCUCAUUGAAGAACUCCAAAUCAUUAUCCUAUAUCACUUUAUUUAUCUAUAUUCAAGAACUAUAAUUCUUUUUUCUGGAGUUCAAUUUUUUUGAAAAAAAUUUUAGCAUUCAAAAAUAUUCGAAAAGAAUUAUUGGAUGAAGACAAAAUUAAUACGUGGUGGUGGAUGCGUCGUUGAGAAACUCUCCGGUCAAGAUUUAUCGGAAGUGGAGGUGGGACUCCUAAAAGCACCAGCUCUUAGUUUAGUACUUUUGACUUCGAAAUAAAUGCAUAAAUGUUUCCUAAAUUUUAAUCUUUUUCAACUUAAAUCCUCUAAACUUUUAAUUUUGAUAAUUAAACUAACUAAGCUUUAUCAAAUAGUUUCGUUCGUCUUCUCCUUAAGCGAAGUUAUUAGAGAUGUCUAUAGACCGGAUUGGAUCAGAAUAGUUAAUAUAUAUUGUACAUUUAUGCUAAAAUGAAAUGGGUGAGGAAAAAAAAAAAAAAAAACCCUGACAAGGUGUUUACAUUUCCCCAUUAUAGGGCUUACAAAUCUUUUUAAUUUUUAGCAGUAAAAACAAAGCUUUUUUUUUUACCUUGAAUUUGAAAGAUAGAUGUAUAAUAUAAGCCGGAAUAGAAUAUAUAAAUAGCACCGCUCUUGAAUUUUUGUUUAGUAGACGAGCCGAGUAUGAUCUGGGUCGGCUCGCUCUUUCGACUUCAUAACAACUUGAUACAUAUAUUUUAUAUUUAUAUAUAUAAUUAAAUAAUUAUAUAUAUAAUACAAAAUUUUUAUUGUUUGAUUUUUAGCCCAAUCUAAAUAUAAAGCCAACUCAAUUAUAAAAAUGCUUAUUUAUAUGUAAAAUUCAACCAUUAGAUCAAAGUCCAAUAAGUAAGAUCUCGCAAAUUUAUUAUAUAUAUCAUCAAUAUAUAUAUAUAUAUAUAUAUAAUAUAUAGUAUAAUAUUUCUAAUUCUUUAACUUGUUAUUCGUAAGCCAGUGUGAUAAAUUCAACUCGUUUAAUAACGAUAUUAAGUCAAAGUAUGAACAUGAAUUUUUCAACUUGAUACCUUAACAAUCUUAGACUAGCGGUGAUUUGCUCGUUUACACGAGCCGCACCAUCUCGCACAUGAUUCGGCUCGUUUGACAUCCCCACUUUAAGGUUUUGGAUGUCGGAAAUACGGAGUAUACUCCAAAAAUAAAACUUUUAAAUAAGAAGUUUAAUUUUUUGUUUUUUGUUUCUUCAGAGAUUUUGCUAUUCAAAUUAAUUUGGUAGAACAGCAUAUUUUACUUACGAGGUAAUUUAUCUUAUUGUAAAAUAAUAACUUAGAGCCUUAAAUAGCUGAAUAUAAUAUUUUAUUCUAAAUAUUUGGUCAUACUCCGUAUUUAUCAAAUAUAUAUAAAUUAAACAAGACCUCAUGAAUUUACUAUCGUAAAAAUUUAUAAACUAUAUUAACUAAAUUUAUAAAAUAAAUAAUAUAUUUAAAAUUUUAAAUUAAAUACAUUGAAAGAUUAGAUUGUAAAGUUAAAUUAAAAAAAAAUAAAUAGAUACUCAAAUUAAAAUGGCGAAUAGUUGAGAUAAGUUGUUUCCUCUAACAAAAAAACAAAUCCACAAGAACCGGAGCUAAAGCCCCCUCUCUCACCCUCCUCUUCUUCGAGCUCCGCCGAGGAGCCGAUACCAGCCCAAAAACCCUAGCGCUUCCGCGUUUCGGAGAAGCGCGGCGCGGCCAUGGAGAGCGCCCUCGCGAGCGCGUCGUCGAUCGCGGACCAGCGCCAGAAGAUCGAGCAGUACCGCCUCAUCCUCGCCUCCGUCCUCUCCUCCUCCCCCACCGACAUCGCCCAGGCGAAGCGCUUCAUCGACCACAGUAAAACCCUCUCUCUCUCUCCCCCGCCCUUCGCCCUCCUCCUCCGCAAUUAGGGUUUGUUUACUGUAGCUUUUUGUUGUAGGUGGAAAUAUACGGGGACGCCCCUCAACUGUAGGACAUUUCGAAAUGGAUCCCUCGACUUUACACUUCUUUGAUUGAUUUGAGUUAUUCUAGUUGGCUAAUUUGAGAAUUUUGUUGAAUCUGUUGUCUCUAUUAGCUAUUUGCUGUUUGUUGUUCUGGUUUUAAUUGCUAGAAAGUGAUUAAAAACUGUUUAAUUUGGUAGAAUCCUCAUCAAUUAGGGUUUACGCAUUGUAACUUCUUGUUAGGUUAAAAUGUUUGGCAACCCACUCACUAUAGGACAUUUUGAAAUGGACUUUACUCUUUUGUUGAUCUAAGUUGUUCCAGUUGGUUAAAGUUGUAAAAUUUUGUUCAACUUAAUGGCCCUAAAGUGAUUAAAGCUAUUAAAUUUGAGAGAAUCUUCCUCAAUUAGGGUUUACUCAUUGUAGCUUUUUGUUUGGUAAAAUGUAUGGGGGCCCUUUAAACUAGAGGACAUUUUGAAAUGGACCACCCAACUAUACUUUUUUAUUGACUUAAGUUAUUCUAGUUAGUUAUUCAGAUUUGUUGAAUUUAGUGACUCUAGUAGCUAUUAGCCUAUAAGCUAUUAUUUUUUCAAGUUUUAUUUGCUAAAAAGUGACUAAAUAUAGGAAAUGUGAUGGAAUCAUCGGCGAAUUUGUAAUAUGCAUGGACUAAAAUUUUUCAAAUUCCAAAAAAAUAAAAAAUUUUAGGCAGUGUCAGUUAAAAAAACAACGAAUUUGCUAGAAUACCCAAUUUAUGUGACUAAAGUCUCUUAAUUAAUCCUGGAAAAUCAAAACUUAACAGGGUGCUAGUAAAAAAAAAAAAAAAUUGAGUUGAGAUGAUCAUUUCAAAAUAACUGAUGGUUGGGGGGAAUCUCCAUACAUUUUUUACCUUUUUUGUUAUUUGGGUAAUUAAACCCCUUAUUUGUUUGGGUUGUAGUGGUCUCCGACGAGGUUCCACUUGUUGUGUCGCGGCAGUUGCUUCAGAGCUUUGCACAGGAGCUGGGGAGGUUGGAUGCUGACGCGCAGAAGGAGAUUGCACACUAUGCCUUAAAACAGAUUCAGCCUAGGGUGGUCUCUUUCGAGGAACAGGUCUUACUUCUUAAUCUUGUCAUAUUUCCUUUUCUUAUAUGUUUGACAAAUUGUCUGGAAUACCGGGAUUGGGUAACACAGAUGGCUUAUCUAGGAAAGAAUUUUGAAAACCAAAUUUUCUAUUAUUUAUAUACUGCUGCAAUGGAGCUCAUACGCCCAAUUUUACCGGGUCAUAGUUAGUUGGUUUCUGCUAUUUGUAUGGUUUAUUGAAAAUAAUGAUAUUUAUCAUUCACUAUCCUAUGAAAAAAAACAGGUUUAUCACAUCAAUGGUGAUAUCUAAAUUCAAACUGGUUGUAGUGCUCUUAAGUAGCCCUUAUGAAUUUGUGGGUAUCCUUCCUGUAUGCUUCAAUUAUACUUGUUGUACGCUUCAAAUAUGAAUCCAUAAAUGGUCUAGCUAUGUGAAGGCUAAAGUUAAAUUAACUUGCCAUACAAAGAAACAAGUUCCUUAAAGAGAGAAUUAAAAAAAACAGAAUAUAGCAGUAGAUAGCAUAAGUCUGAUGUUUUCCCACAGAACCUUUUGAGGUUUCAUUGUUUCUACUUCCAGUAAUACUUUCGUAAGUUUCUAACUUAACUAGGGUUUAAUCACGAUAUAAAAUUAUAGAAUAUAUUGUUAUAUGGUUACAUAGACUCAUAGUGAAUGUGAGAAGUAUCAAGCAAAUUUGUGUCUAAUCUUGUGAUAACCUCAGUCAAUUGCCAAAACUCAAGUGCUCAAAGGCCACAAACCUAUAGAGGAACCAAGAGGUACUCAUCCAUGUUGUUACUUCUAUUGUGACAAUGUAUUUAUUGAAAACUAGUUUAGACAUAUUUAAAACUUCCGUUAAUCAUCUAAAGAUUAUGAAUCUGAGCACGCUUUAACUGUGUACACUUCCAGUUGUUAUCUUCAGUUUCAUUUCCUUUAUAUGUUCUAACUAUUUAGUAGAUAAUAGAAUGGCUAGAAUGGAGUGGCAUAUCCCAAACUGUGUACACUUUAACUGGCUUGUAUUUCAGGUCUCAGUCAUUAGGGAGAAGCUAGCUGAGCUAUAUGAGUCUGAGCAGCAGUGGUCAAAAGCAGCGCAGAUGCUAAGUGGGAUUGAUUUAGAAUCUGGAAUUAGGUAGAUUUGGAUUUUCUGAUCCUGAUUCUUAUCUAACUGUUUGAUUUUGUUCUUUUGUGUCUGCCUCGCUAGGAACUCUAAUAUUUGGUUCUUCUUAGGAUGCUUGAUGACGCAUACAAGCUAUCCAAGUGUGUCCAUAUUGCUCGUCUCUAUCUUGAGGUUGGUUAAAUAUUUUUCUUCAACUUGAUAAUUGCUUGCCAAAUUGCUCACACACAUGGUUCGGCUAUCAGGAUGAUGAUGCAGUGAAUGCUGAGGUUUUCAUCAAUAAGGCAUCUUUCUUGGUUAGCACCAGUCAGCACGAGGUUCUAAAUCUACAAUAUAAGGUAGUCACUCUAUUAAUAGUUGCUUGUUUAUGCUUCAAAGCAUGCUCAAAUUCUCUGCUGAAGAUAGUAAUUUAUAUGCUUUUAAGGUUUGCUAUGCAAGGAUAUUAGAUUUAAAGCGGAAAUUUCUGGAAGCUGCACUUCGUUAUUAUGACAUUUCUCAGAUUGAGAAACGCCAAAUUGGAGAUGAGUAAGUCUCUUUGAUUCUACUAGCAAAUUUUCAUUGGUGAUGAGAUCAGUAUUCUAACUACCUAACAUUCUGGCCAAGUAGUUAUUGCUUCGUUCUGUUUAACCAGCCCUUCUUUAUGAUUGUUUUUGUAAAAUGUUUUUGUGUCUACCCUUAAAAGAUGGUUUUGUCUGCAUAAAUGUCAUUGUUGCACUCUCUGCUAUAAUUUUGGUUUUUUAAAAUGUAAUGUUGUCUAAGCUGCAAUUUAUCAGCAAGAUUAUCAUUCUCAUUUAGCAGCUUUAUUUUUGGUUUAUUUUUUCAAUUUUUUUGGAACUUGUAUCCUUGUAUGUUUUGAUUCCUAUACUGGAUUUGCAUUUAUUAUAUUUCAAAUUGUCAAUUCUUCAUUUAUUGCCAUAAUGGCAAGGAUCUAUUAGUCUUCUUAUGUCAUGUUAUGGCUUUGUUUAUUUUGAUCCAUCCGAAUCUGUUGUUAGGAGUUGGUGAAAAUCACAACUCAUAAACCCUUCAUUAAAAGCCGUUGGUACUUUUUUCAUUUAGAAUGAUAUUAGAUGCAUGUUACCAGGGAGAUUGAUGAGGAUGCACUGGAGCAAGCUCUCAGUUCUGCUGUGACUUGCACAAUAUUGGCUGCUGCUGGUCCCCAACGUUCUCGUGUACUUGCUACCUUGUACAAGGUAUUUCUACUAGUUAUUGCACAUUGUUAAUGUAGUAUGCGAAGAAGUUUGUAUAUGUAUGUGUUUAUUUGCGGAUGCCUGAAAUUCCAGACAUUUGUGUGAAGUAAAAAUGUGAGAUUAUUGAGCCUUUCUUUUGUACUUAAUACACUCAGAUGUAUUGUAAAGCCUUUACCCUUUUAUUGACUUGUUAAUCUACUGGUUCUGUGUCUUAGGCACAUGCUUGGCCACAUUGGCUCAAGGCCGAGACUUGUGCUUUGAAUGAGAUGUGCUCUUUGUUACCUAGGCUCAAAGCAUCAAACCUGGUGCGGGCUUAGUUUCAGGGCCUAGCUGAGAUGUGGGCUUCUGAGUUGCAAAAGUUGGUUUGGGAUGUUUAUAUAAAUGAAUUUAAAAAUGUUUGAUGCAGAUUUCUAUGUCUAUGUAAUAGCUAAGAUUCAUGCUUUGUGUAAUUCGUGGUAGCUUGAUAUAUCGAUUUGCAUCACUACAGUGAUUUGUUUAUUGUGAUAAUUUAGUUCAAAGGUUUAUUAAUUUUUCAAAUCUUACUUGUGAUAUGUUUAUACUGCUAAUAUAGGUCUUUAAUUGAGUAUAUCGUUCUGAAAAUUAGUGUAAAUGUGCAUCUUACUUUUCUUACGAGUUCACCUCGUGCCUUUUGCCUCGGUGCCCCUUGGACCUUUAAAACUAUGCAAAGUAGGUACUUUUUAAUUUAUUUGUACGUAUCCUAAUUUGGGACUUCUGUUAUUAGGAUGAAAGAUGCUCAAAAUUGAAGAUAUAUCCCAUAUUGCAAAAGGUUAGCAACAUUGUCUUUCACAUUCGAGGCUUUUAUUUUGAUGAGUAUUUUUUUCUUGACAAGGUUUGAUCAAUUCAAUAUUUCAGGUUUACCUUGAAAGGAUUUUACGAAAACCAGAAAUUGAUGCAUUUGCUCAGGAAUUGAAAGCACACCAGGUGAGCUUUUUCUGCUUCCUUGCCCUUCUGUUCUAUACCGUUCUUCAUGUCUGUAGUUAAAAAGAUUGUCUUUUCUCCAACAGAAAGCACUGUUACCAGAUAAUUUCACUGUGCUUGACCGGGCAAUGAUCGAGCAUAAUCUUCUGAGUGCUAGUAAACUUUAUACCAACAUAAGGUUUGGAAAUAAGUUAUUAUUUUCUUUGCUAUCUUUUUUUUGUGGUUGUCGUUUGAUAAAUAUUUCUUGUUCUAUCAGUUUUGACGAAUUGGGAACUUUACUGGGUAUCCCUCCUGAAAAGGUACAUUUCUUACAGAUAUGUUUGCAUAUAAAAUGUUUGUUUUCGUCAGGCUGAAUUUUUUAGCUGGAGUACUGUUUUUUGCUUAAUAUAAUUUAUUGGUGCUGAGAAUUUGUUUGUUUACAUCAGAGAUUUUAACUGCAUGCUACUGUUUGCUGUCAUUUUGAGGUGGUGAGUUAAUGCUGAUCAGUUGUGGAAUAAAUUCCUCUACCGUGUUCUCAUUUAUGAAUCAAAUCCAACUGCAGUCCAAUGGUUCCAAUUUUUCCAUAAUUCUGGUUGUUUUCUUCAUCCUAGUUUCAGUCCAAGACCAUGUAGGGAAAAUUUUUUUCUCAGUAUCUGCUUUACUUGGAGGAUCUAAAAUGAAGAAAGAGUUGUAGGAUGAUGAAUUCCAUCUGAUUUCCACAUUCAAUUCUCAUAGUUAUGGCGGUCCUCUUCAUUUUAAACCCAGAAAUACACUCAAGCAUAGCUAUUCCUUUAUAAGUUCUUUCUCGAAGAGAGAAAAGAAAUUUGUACUAAAAGAUAGCAUAAAAAGCAAUCAGGUGGAAAAGGUUGGGGGGGAUGUUUGGAGUUUGAUAAGAGGAGAUAUUGCAGGUAGUCUUACAUGGAACUGCUGCUUUAACUAAAAGUUAGUCCGUAGGAAGCUGGGCUUUUGGUUUCUUGCACUCUUAAUCAGUAGUGUAGUCAUAGGCGAUCUUGUUGUCAAAUAGCAAGCAUCCAGUAUUAGAUGCUAAAGUUUACAAGGAAGGAUGUAUUAACAAUGAAAGUAAUUGAAACAUCUAGUAGACAAGGAUUGAAUCUCAAUUUAUCCUUUGUAUGCAAUGCCAAAAGGGCGCAAUCAUUUUAGGAAAUUUAUGUAGUCCAAUCAGCUUAAAUUGUUUCUAAAGGAGAAUAAUGUUCUUUUUAUUAUAGGGAUCUAUAAUUUCUUUGAUUUAUGUUCUUGUCUUCUAUAACCAUCCUGUUCACUCUUAGGAGUUGAGAAAUCUUUAGUGCUUCUCUUGAAUUUUAAUGCAUAGCAGUGUUUGAUGCACCAUAUACUUUUAUGAGUCUUGUGGAUUCUUUUUUGGCAAAUCUCGUAAUUUUUUUAGUAAUUAAUAUCAUCAUGAUGAAUUUGGCCUGAGAGGACACAUUGUACUAAUUUGACGUGCUUGGCAACAUUUGGUAGGCUGAAAAGAUAGCCUCUCGGAUGAUCUAUGAGGACAGAAUGAGGGGUUCAAUUGAUCAGGUAUAAUUCAUUCGUUUUCUCUUCUUGUUACUAUGUUAUUUAGAGUCACCCUCGGCAAUGUCCGCAAACAUAAUUGUUGUCUAUGUUUUGGUUUUGGUGAGAAAUAUGAUAACAUGGGUGAAUUUUUGGUUUUCUUUUUUCCCUGAGAGAAAAACAUGCGUGAAUAUUGAACAAGUAAAACUUAUAUAUUUUCUCAUAUAGUGGGACAUGAAUAAGUUAUCCGAUAAUCCGUAAAGAUAUUUUGAGAAGAAUAGAUCGAAAGUAUGAACUAUCUUGUAGUUUGUAAUUAAUAUGCAAUGAGGCAAAGGAUGUUCAAUGAUGCCAUGAGACUCCAACAAACAUGGAAAUAAACACUUAAUUGUACGACAGGAAUUCACAGAUGAAAUUUAGGAUUCAUAGGUGAAAUCUGACAAUGUAUAUUAAGUAUUAACGCAACUGGCAAUCUAAUCUCCGACUUAGGAUUGUAUUAAUACAAUAGGAAAUAGGCGAAUAUUAAACAAGAUAAAGCAUUGGAUUAAUUUCUAACUAUAGUGCACUAGUAAUUUGUUACUAGAUCGAAGGAGUGGAUGACUCGUUGUACGUAUGCCUUGUAUUAAGCUCAAAGAAAUCAUUGCUGCACAUAUUCGUGGAACAGGAAAGUUCAACAGGCUUUGAUAUGUAUGCAUGGACAUGUCUACCUUAUCUGCAUUGAGAUAGGGAUGCUGUAAAGAUAGGAAAGUACAAUUGAAAUCUUUGUGUAACAAAUCAAAUCAAUUUGGCUCACAUACUCAUCCUUCUCAUUUUCGUUGCUACUUCUGUAACAGUUAGUUGAAUGUUAUUGUUCAGGUUGAAGCUGUUAUACAUUUUGAGGAUGACAUGGAAGAGUUACAGCAAUGGGAUCAGCAAGUGAGUCCAUUUUUCCUUACUGCUGGCUCAUCAUUAGUGAAACUGGGAUUAAGUACACCACCUUUUUCCCAUUAAAAAGCUACUAACAACUUGUUAAAAUAUGAGAAUACGGAGAGUAUGAUAAUCACUGGAACACUUGAAGGGUCACUAAUUAUCCUCUAAACACACGAUGUUCAUCAGUAUAUAUUGACUUAACCUUCUUAAUCUAUGUCUCAUUUCUUUUCCCUGCAAAUCUUUUGCAGAUUGUCGGUCUAUGCCAAGCUCUUAAUGAUAUCCUCGACUGUAUAACUAGCAAGGGCAUCACAAUUCCUGUUUGAGUUAUCAGCUAUGCCAUAAGAUCCCUUGGUGAUUGACAAUUGGAAAUUUGUCCUAGCAUUUUGGGUUGACGACGAUUCAUUUCGGUAUCAGCUUCAUUUAAUACUUCAUGGGGUCCCUUAAUCUUGUUUUCCUCCUUUUUGAGCAAAAAAAUUCUGUAUAAAGGACAUUGAUUUCGUCGCAUGCUAUGUGAAUAGGAGUUAAUUCAGUCAAAGCUAGCAUUAGGAGGUAGGGUUAUUCAUUUUAUGCUUGUUUUGCUCUUUGUCAACUUACGCUUUAUAGGGAACUUCACUGGUAUUGGAACUGCGUGGUCAGUGUCAUAGAACUUGUGCUUUAAAAUUAUGAUGAUUUUGUGUGUUACCUGUAGCAUGUGAUGCCGAGUGAGAUUAGUGUGGAAUCUUGGAGGCUCAGGUGAAUGGCAUUGGUCCUUAUCUGUUUAACAUUGGGAUAAGAACUGUGGGCUUUGAGCAUCAGCCAUCCCCCAUAUGUUCAAUUACUGAAUUAGGGUUUCAACACAAUUAGUUUAGCAGAUUAUGUUUGAGUUUUAAAACUGAGGUUGGAUUUUGGGUGAAUUUUUAGAAAAUCCAAAUCCGAACCCGGCCACCAAAUUUGACGGGUUUUGAAAGUUCACAUCCAAAAUCUAACUCGAUUAAAAAUUCAAAAUCCGAAUCCGAAAUUCCCAACUCGAAAUUAUUCUGUGUCAUAUUUUGAAACAUGCUAUAUUAAAAUCUAUAUUUUUUUAAUAUAUAAAUUUAAUUAAUAUAAAAUAAAUUUGGGUUUGGGUUUGCGUCGAGGUUUGGAUUUGGGUCGGAUAAAUCAAAAUUUGUAUCUGACUGUAUUGAAAUAAUAUUCGUUCAACAUCAGAUAAAUUCGACUUCGACCUGUUUUUAGGUUCGGAUUCGGAUAAAAUCCUCUCGGUUGUAAACUUCGCAUUGUCUUCUCCCCCUGCAUGAAGACGUGUGGAUUGGCUGCAAGCGCCUCCCGUAUCCAGAGAACGUGCGGAAAAAGUGAAACGAAGAGAGCGAGGAUAGUGAAAAUCCAUAAAAUUCGUGAAAAAAGUCAAAAUUAUUAUUUUUACAUGCAUAAUCAAAUUCUAUUAAUUAAAAUUUAAAACUAAAUUAUUUUGUAAAAUUUUAAAUAAAAUUGUUUUUAAAAUUUUAAUUAUUUUAAUGCGAAGUGUGCAUUAAUUGCACGCACGUUACAUGUAAACUCAAAAAUAGAUGUAUAUUCUACUCUCAAUCUAUCCAAGGAUAGGAAGUUGCUAGUCAUAUUACGUGACCGGUUAGUGGAGAAAACUUUAUUUUUGAAAGGGUGGAGUAUAGGAUAUAUCUUUACUUUUUUACGUGAUACUAGUACUGUAAAAUAUCCAAAAAAUUUCAAUAUAAAUUUUUUUGUACUAUAAAAUUAGUGUUGCAACCAUCAUCGGAAAACUAUGUAAUUACAAAAAAAACAAAGUACUUCUGGGCUUUUUAAAUAUUUUAUAGUAUUAAAAUAAUAAUUUUUACCACCACAUAACUAACUAAAUUAAACCUUAUUUUUACCACCACAUAACUAAAUUAAACGUUAAAUCCUGUCACCACAUAGAAUCGCCAAAUGAGGUAACCCUCUAUAAAUUUACUGAAAUUGAAACUGUUUCUCCUUGCUCGGCCGAAUUAUCAUUAAAACAUACAAAUCAAAGGAUGCAUGCUUUAAAACUACAACAAAGAAGCAACCAUCCCAUGGCACCCUUUCACAAAGACAAAAAGGAGUUUCCAUAACUUAUCACAACCCCUAAAAACCAUUCACAAGAGUUUCCAUAAAUUAUCACAACCCGAAAAACCAUUCACUCGGCGCGAGAGGGAAAUUAAAUAUGGACGCAACCAUCCCAUGGCCACUGCGGAACCUCACAGCCCAACAAAGAUCUCGACAGAGCAGAUACAUUGAAACCAUCCCGCGGGGACUGCAUGCGAUAUCGACCGUCUGGGGGGCGCCGGCGGGGAACGACUGCACCGCAGCAUGUGCUCCGACGGUUCGAUUGAGACGUCGACGGCGGCAGUUUUCAGGUGCAAGUAUACAGGAGCGAAGUAACUCUAGAUCAGGGUGCCUAGGAAGGUCACUCAAGAGGGCUACGUAUUUUGUAGGGACUUUUUUGUAUAUUUAUUUACUUGUAACAAGAUCAGUUUAGUGAAAAUCAUGUGUAGUAUGUAAGUAUCAAGUGCAAUUGUUGCAUGUGCUUAAAAAUUUUAAUUUGGUAUGUAACUUUAGUUUCUGGUAUGAGUAAUAUAUGGUAUUAAUAGAGACAUUUUUAGUAUUGACAAAGUAAUUUUAUUGAAUCUCGUCCAUCACAAGCAGUGUCUUACUCUACGGAUGUGAUAUUUAAUUAUACUUUGUAGUCUCAAUAUUAUACUAUCAAAAUUUAAGGUAAAAAGUACGGAACUUGCCUGAUCAUUUUGAGUCUGCUAUUUCGAUCUUUAAAAAUUUUGAGUUUACCGUCCAACUUUUCAAUUUGUUUGAUUCGAAUAAGUUGAGAACACUUUGAAUUCAAACUUUGAAUAUAUUGGUUAUCUUCACAGGUUUAAAUUAGUAUGCUUUUACCUUGAAAAGUUGGAUAGUUAAUCAAAAUUUUGAAAUGUUGAAUAUUCGACUCAAAAUGGUCAAUAGUUCAAAUAAUUUAUGGACAUUAAUUUUUACCAAAUUUUAAUGAUGUUUGUUAUCUGUUAAUGAAAUAUUUGUAAAUCUAAUAAAAUGUAACAUUAAUAGUUUUGACAAAUCUGAUUGAGAGAUGUAGAAUUAUGAGGUAAUACCAAAUCAAAACUUUCAAAUUUUACGUAGCAAUUUCAAGAUGCCCAGUUGCCCACAGUUCAUAUGGUUAGAAUAUUUUAACCUUCUUUGUUUAUUAUUUUGUUUUCUUUGAAAUAUUGCCUUUUUGUAUAAAAAAUUUAUUAACAUUUUUGUAAAAUCAGACUGUUUUUCGAUUUUGCAUAGAUUUCUAAAAAACUGUUCAAAAUACUUCUGUAUAUUUUCUCUCUUCUCUCUCUUUCUCCUCCUCCAUUGCCCCAACAUCGAUCACUGCAAUGCUCCUACACUAAACUCCCUACUUCUCUUUUGCCGUCGACGAGGACGAUGAGGGUUCGAAUGUGGCACUGAUCGCAGAGAUGAGGGCGUGGGUACUAGUGCAGUUCAAGACGACGAGGCACGACAGGGUGCCGGCCAGAGCUGGAGGAGCGGAGGGAGGAAGAGGAAAGAGGAGAAGGGAGAGGAAGGAGGCGUCAAUGUCCUUCUUAUUUGUCUUCUUUUUUUUUAUUUAUUUUUUUGAUUCUUUCUCAUUAAAGCGAAUAAAAUAUUAUAAUAUUACACUAUUUAAUUAUAUGUUGUACUAUUUGACAGUAUAUUAUAAUAUUUCAUAAUUUUGACGUCCUUUGGUUCUCUUUUCUCCUUCCUCUCAUUUCCUCCUCUACCAUCACUGGCACCCCUUCAUGUCUUCACUCCCCGCCAUGAGCGCCGCCGCCACUGCUGCCAUCAAGACAAUGUUCUUCUGGGUUAUUGACCCUGCAGCCGCCUCUGCCUUCGACGAUGACGUUGGUGACAAUGGCAUCACGGCAGAGGAGACGAGACAACCAACAAUAACAACAAGCAAGGUGCAAUGACCCGACCCCCUAUCAACAAUAACUUAUUGGGUCUAAAUCACUGGCCCAAAAUAUUUAAGUCCGGUUAUUAUUAUUGACGCGUAGGUCUCAUAUAUUCUAAUAAGAAUCAGUUUUCCACCCGAUGUGAGACUAUUGGGACGUUACAAAAGACAAGAGAAGAGAGGAGCAUUUUGAUCGUACUUCUAAAAAAUUGGCUUGAGUCUGCAAAAUCAAAAAAUAUAGCUUGAUUAUACAAAACACAAAACUAAUAUAUUUUUUUAUGAGAAAAGGUCUUGAAAUAUUUAUUAAAAUUAUUUUCGAAUCGUUUCUAUUCAUUUAUGAAUAUUAUGACAAAUAUGAUAUAAUAGCCGGUUCAACCCGCCAAUUCCAGAUAAUCUAUAGUUUCCAUCUCCACAUUUUUGUCACUUAAUGGCACACGACGUAAUCCUAACUAGGCUAACAUAUUUGACCUGAGAACAUGGGCCCUGAGUCUCUAAAAUGGGAAGAGUUUGUAAUACCCAAUAGAUCAAUAUUGGAUUGAAAAGAGAUUAUACUGGAUUGGAUAUAUAUGAACCAAGCAUUUUAUUAAUUAAAGAGUCAAAUAUUUGGACUGGACUGAUGCUUUGAGUCUAAUUACUUACUACUUACUAGUACUAAUGGACUGAACCGUGCCCCAUAAUCUAUUCAAAGAAAUCAAUCCCUUCCGUCCAAAUUCUGCUCUCAAGUCAUCAAUUUGUUUAGAUUAUCCGUCACAUAGAACUGGAAGAGUCUCGGGAGACAAAAGUGAUACAAGUGAUAAAAUAAUCAGACAAGAAAAUUGUGAUGCCCCAACUUCCCAGUGGGUCAUUCAUUCUAGAACUAUUUUCGUACUAGCACGCUUAACUUUCUUAACCUCUUGGGUCUAAGCUAUCACCCAAAAUGUUUAAGCCGGAUUAACAGUUUUACUCAUAUUAUAUAUUAUAUAUAGUACUAUAGAUCUGAAGUCUCACAAAAAUUAUAACCUAUCUCCAAAUUAUUUAACCAUAAUAAGAUAAAUUGCAUCAUAUGUAAAAUUAAACAGUAAUAAUUUAUAUGCUCCUAAAAAAUUUUCAACUUUUUUAUUUGCCCCUCGUAUAUGACUACUAUAAAAAAUAUUUUUUUAACGUUUCAAGCUAUUUCAAAUAUACCUCUAAAGUUAAAUUCUAUAAGUGAACUAUUAGUAACAGUCGUUAUCUUUGUGAAAUUAUUAUAUGAAUUCAAAUAUAAAAUAUAUACUUGAAUUCACAAUUUGAAUCCAAAUUUCAAAUUGAAGUUCAUAGCUAAAAUUAAUUUGAUUCAAAUUUAAAUUUAAAUAUUUGAAAACAAGCUUGAAUUUAAAAACUAAAAGUAGUGUAGCCAUGUGGUAUGUCCACAUUGGCGGGUUUUAAUUUAACCCGAUCCAUUUAGGAUGUGGGUUAGGACUUAUCCUAAUAGGUUUAGGAUAAUAAUAAAUUAUAUGUUUCUUAUCAGUUAAGAAACAUAUCCACUAGAGGAUAUCUAUCAUAUCCUAGUUCUUAUCCUAAUCUCUUUGUGAGAUUCAGGAUAUUUAGGGGUUCCGUUAUUCUAUAUAUACGUCCCCUUGUUUCUCCCAUCUGAGAAAAUUGAUAUUCGAAUUAAUUUAAUAUUCCAUUAUUCUCUCUCUUCUUCCUCUUUGGGAUUUCCACCUACGUUCUCGGGGUUUUGGAGUGUGGACAUAGAAGAGGACUCUGGUAGCCCUCUUCGAUUAACAUCCGUCGCAUCAGAUCCGCAACCGAUCCGUGGCGUAAGGCGUACGCGUGGGAGAAGGCGAGAAACGUGGGAGAUCCAGAAGCAUCGAGACAAGGACGAUCCAAGAAGGCUUGUAAAACAAGUAAUCCGAUCCGAUUCGAGCUCCCGGAUACGUUGGCUAUCCGGUUUGUAAGUUUUCGCUGCCUAUUAUUUCCAACAAGUAGAAUUAAAUUUGAAUAAAGAAUUUUACGCAGCUAAUUUUACGUUAGAAUUCAUGGAAAUGCAUGACCUAACCAAGGGAUGAAAAAUCGGUUGAGUUUGGCAAUUUUUAUAAACGGUUCAAAAGAUUAUUUACACUGUCAUAACUUUUCGUUCUGGUGUCUAUCUUUAGCAUGUAACCCAAUAUAAAAAUAUACUUUUUGAGAUCUACGCGUUCAACCAUAAAGUCGUUCUGACCGAGUUUGCGACUCAAAUUUAAUUGUUUAGGCCUCCGAAUUUACACUUUCAAGUUAUUUUUAAAACGUUUUAUAUAUUUCAUAUUUUGAAUCCAAUUAUUUAAAUAAUUUUGAUUGGUUUAGAUUUAAAGAUAUUUAAAAUUUGAACAUAAUUCAAAAGUUAAAAUAAAUUUAAACUUAAAAAAAUCUAAAAAAAAUAAAGUAAAGAUCAAAUAUUAUCUUUUACAUAGAUUAUUCAUUUUUUGCGACUUCAAAAUUUUUAAACCGAAGUUAAAAGAGUUAAAUAUAGUAAUAACUCACUUUUCAACCACUUUUGCAAAGUAAUGAACUUUUACAUUCACUUACGAAACCAAACAUAAGAAAAGACACUGCUUUUUAAAAGUAUUACUAUUAUUAUUAUUAUUAUUAUUAUUAUUAUUAUUAUUAUUAUUAUUAUUAAUGCUUUACUUACUACCAACCAAAUACAAACUUACUUGGUCCCACUUUAGAAUUUUGAAUUCUCAAAAAUCUUAAAAAAAAAAAACAAAACAACAGUCCAAUUGGCUUUUCACGUCAGUCCUUAGGCUUAACAUCACUCAUAAAGCCAAAAAAAUACAAAAAAACCAAAAAGCAAACACACACACACACACGCACGCAACAAUAUUAAAGAUUUUCAAAAUCUAAUACGGCAUUUUAACAUCUGCAAUUGGCUAAGAAUUUGAUAGUUGGUAUUCGAGAUCUUAAAUUUAUAAUUUAAUUAUUUUAUAUUUUUAGCCAAAUUUAUUUUUAAAAGAUAAAUAAAAUUCGUAGCUGUUAUGUUUUUUAAAAAAAUUUUAGGGUCUUGCGUUGACUAGACUACUCUCAAUUAGGGAUGUCAAUGAAUACGGAUAUCCAAAAUUUUAUCCGAAUGCUAAUUCAAAUGGAGCGGAUUUCUCUGAUGCUAAACGGAUAUGGUUUCGAAUAUGCAUAUCAAGAACAAAGAUCUGAUGGAUAUGAAUUCGGAUAUGGAUUUUAACUGCACUCGAUCCGAAUCUGAAUUUAUUUUAUAUUAUAUGUAAUAUGUAUAUAAAACUUUGAUGUUAUAUUUGAAUUUAUAUUUUAAAAAAUUAGAUUUAAUGUAAUAUAUUUUGCAAUAUUGAAAAGAGAAAUAAUUUUUUCAGGUUCGGAUUCGGCUUCGGGUUUUAGAUUUUGGUCGGAUUCGGCUUUGGAUAUGAAUUUUUAAAAUCCGUCGAGUUCGGAUUUGGAUUCGGGCUUCGGAUUUAAAGUCGGGUUCAUGUUCGGGUGUUUAAGUCUGCCCGGAAUCCGACCCGUUGACAUCUCUACUCUCAAUGGCCCGGAAAUUAAGAAGAAUCUAUUUUUUGUCAUUUUUUGGAUGGGCAUAUUGGCCCAAUGGAUGUACUGGCCCAACCCCAUCCCUAGAUAAAUUAAUUAUUUAACUUUGUUUCAUACAAUUGAAAGGAAAAUCUGAUUCUUUAGGGCCCCACAUCUAGGAGAAUCUUUAGCAGCUAUGUUUUUUUUUUUUUUUUUUUUUUUUUUUUUUUUUUUUUUUUUUUUUUUUUUUUGAGAAUUAGGUAGUAAGCUACCUGCUUCAUUCAUUAAGCAAAAAUAAAUAUGUGUAUUAAACCCAAAGUCAGGGGCACUAGCCCGAAUUUAAGCACCCAUGGAGCUCAAUCCAUGACAAUAUUCAGAAAUUUAAAAAUAUUUAGUAAACAGUAAAGUUAACUUGAAUAAGUUGCACUAUGAUGAUCAUAAAAGUACAGAAUUACUCGUGCAUUAGGCCUUAAGAUAGUUUGACAAAAAAGGAAAUUGUAAAGCUUUCGCUAUAUAGAAAAGUAGAAUCUCCUAUUUAAUACAAUUAAUUUUUAUUCGACUAAGAAACAAUAUUACAAUACGUCGUUACAACGAGACUGAACAGGCUCUUAACAUAAUGCUAGAUAAGAAAAGAAGAAGAGGAAAGAUGACACAAACCCACCCAUCUAUUCAUAAACUGUGAGACCCCAGAUAGCCCUAUAUAUGUGAUAUAAUAGGGCUAAACUCUUAACCCGGCUUUAAGCAUUUUGGGUGGUGGCAAGGCCCAAGACGUUAAGAGAGUUAAGCGUGUUAGGACGGGAGUAGUUCUAGGAUGGGUGACCCUCUGGGAAGUUGGGGCGUCACAGAUGGUAUCAGAGCCAAUUACCAGCCGGAAGUGUGAGAUGAGUCUUGGCUGAGCCAGGGUCUGGAUGACGGGCUAGCGAGAUGAGUCUCACAUCGCCUGGUACUUGUGAGUCUGAGCCUGACGAGGACGUCAGAGCUUAAAGGAGGGAGAUUGUGAGACCCCAGAUAGCCCUAUAUAUGUGAUAUAAUAGGGCUAAACUCUUAACCCGGCUUAAGCAUUUUGGGUGGUGGCAAGGCCCAAAAGAUUAAGAAAGUUAAGCGUGUUAGGACGGGAGUAGUCCUAGGAUGGGUGGUCCCCUGGAAAGUUGGGGCGUCACAUAAACACUCUAUACUUAUUGAUGCUACAAUUAAGCCGUGAUACGUCAUGCAUCUAUCUUGGCCAAGGCAAGGAUGCUCCUUUAAAAAAGGUGAACUUUAUUGAUGCUAUAUAUAUAUAAAUGAAAAGGUCCAACCUCUAUGCGCAUGCAUGAGAUCUCAUGCUCAUUCAUGUUCAACAAGUAUUAGGCAACAAGAACAAAGAUAUGGCCUACGACCACUCAUCAAAGCAAAAAAUGUACGUAGCCACAAAUUAAGCCCCAAUCAAAGUACGUAGAGAGUACAAGAUUCCCAUGGCUCUUGUGACAUGGAAUUUAGCUAUUAGGGCACGAAUCUCCCAUCACUGUAAACAUCACGGCACAUGACAUUAAUACAUCCCUACUAUAAAAGAGGAUCUAGUGCACAUGGUUGUAGAUCUCUUCAUGGUGUCUUGCAAAAGCCAACAAGAACAUAAAGACAUAUAGAAAUCUCCUAUUCCUGCAACUCCCUUGCAUUUUCUCAGCAAAAGCACGUUCUACCCUUUUUCUUUUAGAGAGAGAACUUAGCAAGCUAUAUAUUUGCUGUGUUCAUCUUUUUAAAAAUAAAUUUAGUUAAAAAUAUAAAGUAACAAAGUUUCGAAUUUUGAAGUAUGGGUACCAACCAUCAGGCUCUUAACCAACUGCAAUAUAAUAGAUACGAUCGGUGACUAUUUAUAUGUCGGCAUAGAUGAUAUAGUACUGUGUGUUUGGGAGUGCAUUUUGGAACCUCAAAAGCACUUUGAGAUCAAACGGAGUUAAUGUUGUGUUUGGUAACACGCAAAGAAAAUUUUAAAUUUGUGGUGCAUGUGUUUUGGAGGGACGGACAAAACGGGUGUUUUACGCAAGCCAAACCCUCUCAAAUUUUUAAAAAUAACAAAAUUACCCUCAAACUUUACAACUAAUUUAAUCCUAUCCUUAGUAAAAGAUUAAAGGAGUUCUAUUAGUAAGAAGAAAAAUUCAUGAAGACCCCCUCAACUAUUGGCCAUUUGCUAUCUUAGAUUUAUUUUUUUUUUCAGUCGACACUUCUCCGACUUUUAUUUGUUUUAAUAUUGAUUUUUAGUCGAUUAAAUUAAAUACUUUAUCAAAUUUAUUAGCGAUUACAUCAAAAUGUACUACUUUAAUCACCAUUUAGCAAAGAAAGCUUAAGAACACGCCAAUUUCAAAAAGUAUUUUCAGAUGAGUACCUUAACUUUGAAAAUUUUUAUUUAGCUAUCUAAUUUUAAAAUGCCUUUGAUUUAUAUUCUAUGAAAAUUUAAUAGUAACUUUGAUUUCUUCUGAUGAAAAAUUUUGCAAUCUAACAUAAUAUUCUUAGUUUGUUGAAAUAUCCUCUAAUCUUUUUUACUGUAGAGUACUAAAUUCUAAUAUGUUGCUUAUGAAUUUUUGAAAUCAUUAACAAUAUAAAGUUAGAUAAUAAAAUCAAAAUUUUAGGUACAAAUAACCUCAAUAUGCUCUAAUGUUCAGAUUGAUCCGUAUUUUUUACUUGAAUUCACAAAUAUCACUUACUGAUUUUUUUUUUUUUUUUUUUUUUUUUUUUUUGUAUUUGUCAUGUUUUUAAUAUUUUAACUAGAUCUCAAUCAUGUACCAUUUGUAUUAAACUCGUAUACUUACAAUUUUAGUUAAAACAAAUUAUAUAAAAAUAAAUAUUUGUCAUUUAUAAUUUUUUUCAUCAUUUGGUGAUUCAAAAUAACUUUUAAAUUUGUGACCAAACAUGUUAUGGAUCACUUUUAAAUAUAUAAAAAAGCUUUUGGUAUUUUGUAGCUAAACACUAUUCGCAAACACAAUUACUUUAUUCAGAAUCAGUUUUUAGUCUCAAAAAACCUUCUAGUACAAACAGCUUUUUAAGUCAAAACUUACCGCAACCCCAAACAGACCCUAAAAGGUUUUGAUUGAUUUAUGCAGACAAUUUUAGUAAUUAAAAACUUUGUAUGGGGAACUAAAAGUUUUUACCUUAAAAAUUCAAUUGGAUUGGAAAACUUUAUUGAAUUGGCUAUUAGUUGAACCAAGACAUUAGCAUGAUACCAUAAAUUAUUUGCAUUACAUGUAUGAUAUUGAAAAAGAAAAAAAAUGCAUCCUACAAAAAUAAGGAAUAGUAAAAGAAACACUAGAGUGGUUUAAGCAUGUUCUUAAUUUGAGUUGUCCCUUAAUAUUGAUUUUGACUCCAUUAUGGAAUGAGUGUGUGUAGGAUAUAUGUGUUAGAUACUAGUUUGCAAAAUUAUAUUUAGGAACUAUAUCAAGCCCAUCACAUAUUGGACAAAUAAUAGGCCACGCUGCAAAUACAUGAGAAGAUGGAGAAUAUUCAUUGAAUAAACAUUUUGCAUGCAAAAUUCCUUUAGCAAAUUAGGUUGUAAGGUGUAGAUAAGAUUGACUUCCUUGUAGCUCCCUAAGCCUAAAUAGAUGUACACCACAUGGACUCAACAAUCAAUAUGCAUAUCUAUGUGGUGGUAAUUGGAUUGUAGGGUCCUAGCAUGGGCCAUGCUUAGUUUCUAGGUGUGGAAACACAUUUCGAAAGCUCAAAACCAAUAGCUAAAAAUUUUCCACCACAAGCCUUGUUGUAAUAGAUUAAUUAAUGCUUGUUUUUGGAAGUGGACUUAUGGCAUGGGCAGAGUUAGCUAGCUACUAGUCACCUAUUAGGCUAUAUUAGAAGCCAAUUGGAGCUCCAUGGCGCAUACUGCACUAUUAUUCUAAAUCAAACUACGAGACUGUGACGCCCCAGCUUUCCAGGGGAUCAUCUAUUCUAAAACUUCUCUCGUCCUAGCACGCUUAACUCUCUUAAACUCUUGGAUCUAGUCACCACCCAAAAUGCUUAAGCUGGAUUAAGAGUUUAGCCCUAUAAAUCUUAUAUAUAGAAUACGUUCUCGUCAGGUUCAGACUCACAAAUAUCAGGCGAUGUGAAACUCAUCUCGCUAGCCUUGUCAUUCCGACCUUGGCUCAGCCGAGACUCAUCUCACACUUCCGACUGAUAAUUGGCUCUGAUACCAAUUGUGACGCCUUAGCUUCUUAGGGUCAUCCAUCUAGGAUUAUUCUCAUCCUAACAUGCUUAACUCUCUUAACCUCUUGGACAUAGCCACUACCCAAAAUGUUUAAGUCGGGUUAAAAAUUUAGCCCUAUAUAUUUUAUAUAUAGAACUAUCUGGAAUCUCACAAAAACUCUCUCACGGAGAGAACUAUCCUUUUCGAAUCGACUGGCAGUUUACUACUAUUAGCUAUCCAUUAUUAUAUACAUAAAAUCCCCUUGAUUUUCUAUGCAACUAAGUAUGAAAGAGAGUCCCCACCACUUUGAUCUUUUGACAAACAAAUUUAGAAAAAUAGUGUCCCCACUUCUUUCUUCUUUGCAAGCAAGAUUUGGAAGUUCUUUCUCUCUCUCUUUCGCGCAAAGUGCGACAAAAUGUCUUGUUCAAGUAAUUCUUAUACCUUAAUGGAUGGAAUUUCAGUAGCAGCGGGAGUGAGACCCCACCAUUCUCUUUCUCAUUAAACAUGGGGCAUGGUACAUAGAUAUAUACUAGAAAAAUCCAACUAAAUAGCCCAAUCGGAAUACAACUCAUUGAGAUACUGCAAAUUAAAAUCAUGAAAUCAGCACAAAUGCCAUUAUUGCUAGCCAGGAAAGCUCUAGGGGAAAAUCCAAAGGAGUUUAGCUUCAGUGUUCUCUAAACAUGCAUAUAUAUAUAUAUAUAUAUAUAUAGAGCAUGGCUGCUGUACUUUCAGGAGUACGGAAGUCUCCUUGCUCCUGAGCCGUUUUUUAUGAUGAAAUUUUCGAAUCGACGAUCGGCUCCGUUAGACUUGAUCUAGCGCAUUUGAAGUUUCUAGAAAAUAAUUUUUGCGAUUUUUUGAUAUCAUUUACAUAGUGAUCGAAAUGUUUCAAAAUUCAUAAUUUAUAAUGGUUGAUAUCUGUCGUUUUCAAGUUUAACGGUGUAGAAGUAUUCAAAUCAGAUGAAAUUUUGAUACAAAAUUCUUUAUACUAUCUACAAUAAGAUCAAUAUUUCUGAUCGAAAAUUUUAGUACUAUAUCACCACUUUUUAUAGGAUUUUUAUUUUCAGCCGUUAAAAAUUAUUGAUUUUGAGUCCUUUCGAUUGCUAGGUAAAUGAUAUCGAAAAAUUGCAAAAAUUAUUUUCCAGAAACUUCAAAUACGCUAGAUCAAGUUUUACGGAGCCGAUCGUCGAUUUGAAAAUUCCAUUAUCGAAAACGGCUCAGGAGCAUAGAGGCCUCCGUGCUUCUGAGAGCACAACAGUCCUGCUCUCUCUCUCUCUCUCUCUCUCUCUCUCUCUCUCUCUCUCUCUAUAUAUAUAUAUAUAUAUAUAUAUAUAUAUAUAUAUAUUCUCCUAAUCAUAGUAACAAAUUAAAUUCUCUAAUUUUUCUUGUUAAAUUCGCAAAUAAUUUACAAAUUUUUUAGUGUCCAAAUAAUUGCCAGAAUUAUUUGUCACGUAAACACAUAUUGAUAAAAAAAAAAUUAUUCUUUCACAGUAACCAAUACUAAAUCAAUUAUCCAUUGUGCUUUUAAGUCUCUCUUAUCAUAAUUUAAUAAAAAGUUAAAGCAAUUACAUAACGAUUUUGUACGUUUAUAUAUCAUGUAUUCAUAAUUUACUAAUGAACGGUAUAUUACUGUGUUUUCUUUUUUUUUUUUUUUUCCGAACUCCAAACUUUUCGAUCUUAUGAAUUUAAUCCGAACGCUAAACUUGUGACUACGCUCCUUACCAAUUAAGAGUAACUACUGAUAAGGCUAAAAAGAAAACUUAGAUCCACAUGACAAAGCUAAAAUACUUUCUUUAUGAUUUCAAACCUGCAGUCUAUACACUACAACAGAAUUAAGUUAUAGCGACAUAUUUUUGAAACACUUUUUUGUAAGUGUCUCAUUUAUACCAAAACUUUUAAAAAAAUUCUACGAAGACCUAAAUAUAAAGCUCAAUCCAACCAAAAAUAAAAUGUUACUCUACUCAACCCACCCCACCCAGCCCGUUGGUCCCGAUUACGAACAGAAAACGAAAAAAAAAAGAAAAAUAUAUCACCAUCUUUCCUUCUCCCCUCACUCAAUCCAUUGAAAUCCUAGACGAAGAGCCCCUCGCUCUCCUCCUCCUCCCCGCUGCAACCGACGAGCGGUUGCUAAAUGCUUAAAUAAGUGUUGGUAAAUUAGCAGCAUUCUUUUUAAGUUAUACCGACACUCUUAAAGUGUCGCUAUAUACCUAGCGACUCCACAAAUAGCAACACUUUUAAAAAGUUUCGAUAAUUUAGCCAGCAACACUUUUUUUUGGCUUAUACCGAUAUUUAAAAGUGUCGCUAUAUACCAUUUUUAUUGUAAUGAUAUAUGAAUCUCUAGCUAGAAUGCCAACCUUCUCACUAGCUAAAACCUCCUCUCCAGCCUAACCAAAAUCCCACUUAUUCCUUCUGUACAUUUCAAUCAAGUUGCUACCAUAAUAUCCUAAAUCCAAAAAGUCACUCUUUAAUUAUUAUUUUCUCUUUCUAGUUAGAUAAGUAUCUUAUCAUAGCAUCUGUUAGCUGGGUUUUCUUAAUUUUCUUCAAUAGCAUUAUUUGUAUUAAUUGUGGGAUUAUUGGUGCUAACUAUUAAUUCCAAACACUCGAGCUGCUAAAAAGAUACAAUUAAUCCACGUAAAGCGUACAGGUACAGAGCCCGCAAGUCUUUAUUGUAACUUUUUUCAAUCCGAUCUCCUGUCUUUUGGAACAUGUCUGGGCCCAACUUGGCCUUCCGCCACACAUAGAGUAAGAUGCUGGCCCUUUUAAGCCAACACUGAUGAUCAAUUUUCAGUAUCUGCAUUGAAUAUUAGAGCACAAUAAUUAAGUAGAUUACGCCAUAUGUAAUUGCUAAUAAUAGUAGGCUGGGUAGAGGUUUGCUACUGCUAUCCUUGUUUACAAUUCAGUAUAUAUGCCUUCUAAUUAAGCAAACUUAAAACUUCAUCUGAAGAUAAUCCACCUGCUGUUAUCUUCUAAUUAAUGCUGCACAAAAGAAGCCAAACUGUAGCAUCCUCCCCUACUGAUCGAUCUCAAGCUAGGUUUUUUCUUCCUCUCAGCAUUUCUCUUGUUUUUAUCCCCCUUUCACUCAAAAGAUGCCAAAGUCCUAUCAAUGGACUGCAGCAUCCCCAGCCUUUUGUUUUCAGCAAGUCUCCUUCACAUUAAAAAGAACAACCCAGUGCAUAUUGAACUCUUCUCCGAGCCUCUAGUAUUUAUACAGUGAUCACGUCUCUACGAACUGUCACAACUAAAUACCCACACAUUUCGAUCGUAAACUCUUAUUAUUCAAUUCUCGAGCCAUUUCACUGCUUAAUUCUUAUCAACAAGGUCGAUACUCUCAUACCUCAAAAUAAAAUACAUGUUACACCGUUGCAUCCAACAAUUUCUUUUUUACCCUUUAGAUAAGUUUUUAGUAAAAAAAAAAAAAAAAAAAAAAAAAAAAAAAAAAAAAAAAAAUCAUGCGAUUGGUAAAUCAAGUACUAUAGCCAUAGAAAGCCUAGGGUGUAAAUCUUAUGCUCUGUCUCUCGAAUAUUAUUUCUUUGUAUUACAUGUACAUUCAUUAUGUAUGAUUUAAUAUAGUCCUUAAAGUUAAUUUCGGAUCUAUAUACCAUGACAUCAAAAUAAGAGCACCACUGCAGGUUCUGUAUUUACGUUCCAAUGAUUUUCGAAGUUGAGGAGAAAGGAAGAAGUAGUAGUUAGUUUGCAGUUAGUUAAUAGCGGAACUCGAUCGAGCUCCAUGGAUCGCCCAUGACAUCGAAGGAGACGUCGACGACGAAGAGGCUAUGGUGGGUUCCCGGGCCGCUGAUCAUCGGCGCGGGGCCGUCGGGACUGGCGACCGCCGCUUGCCUGAAGGAUAGAGGCGUCCCCUACCUCGUGCUCGAGAAGGACUGCUGCAUCGCCGCGUCGUGGAAGCUGCGCACCUACGAGCGGCUCAAGCUGCACCUCCCGAAGCACUUCUGCGAGCUCCCGCUCAUGCCGUUCCCGCAGCACUUCCCCACGUACCCAACGAAGCAGCAGUUCAUCAGCUACCUCGAGUGCUACGCGAAGCGCUUCGCCGUCGAGCCGCUGUUCGGCGCGAGGGUCGACCGCGCGGAGCGCGACGCCUCGCUCGGGCUCUGGCGGGUGCGCGCGGGGGAGUCGGAAUUCAUCUCCCGGUGGCUCGUGGUGGCGACGGGGGAGAAUGCGGAGGCGGUGACGCCGGAGAUCGGCGGCGUCGCGGAGUUCCGGGGGAGAGUCAUGCACACGAGCUGUUAUAGGAAGGGGGAUGAUUUCACCGGGGAGAAGGUUUUGGUUGUGGGCUGUGGGAACUCUGGGAUGGAGGUGAGCUUGGAUCUAUGUAACAAUGGUGCUCAUCCCUCUAUGGUUGUUAGAGACAAGGUAUACAUCUAAAGCUAUUUAUUUAUUUAUUUAUUAUGAUUUGCUUCUCUUCAUGCUUCUCAAUUCUAUAAUAGGAAAGUAGUUUAACGAGUCACACUAAUUAUGUAUAAUAUGGAAUUUUAUUUAAUCAUACAGUGGGUUUCUCUCCUUUUCAACCUGCAUAUUUCUAGCUUGUUCUAGUCCCUCCUAACAUGGGGUCAUUUUCAAAAGGAAAACCAACUCUUUUGAUUUUAUAAUUAUUAUAUUAACAUUUCCCAUCCUUCAUGUACUUCUUCGUUUCCUACCUUCGUACUUUCAUGUAUAACUACUUAACUAAUGAUGUGGUGCUUCUCCACUCCAUGAACUUUGCUUUCCUUAUCUCCUCCUAUAUAUGAAAUCAUUCAAAAGCAACUCUCCCUAGUUUGCAAAUACAUUUUCGCCACGUAUAUAUGAGGCCUUUUUAGAAAGAAUAUGGUUUGAUUUUGCAUUAGAUUAGGCUGAAAUCGAACUCUGUCAUACCGUCAAAAGAUAUACAAAAGCGAAGUAAAUAAUUAAUAACAUCAUUGACUAGUGAUAUAUGUAGUUUCUAAACUUGUUCAUCUCUACAUAUAUAAUAUAUUAACCAAGUUUGUGUCCCUCAUGCACGUUGGGUUUAAUGAUUAAUUAACAGUUGCACGUGCUACCGAGAGAGAUAUUUGGGAUCUCCACAUUUGGGCUCUCAGUGUGGCUACUGAAAUGGCUCCCAACGAGAUAUGUUGAUUGGUUCCUCCUCUUAUGCGCGAGAAUAACACUUGGGGACACGGAGAAAUACGGGCUCAAAAGGCCAAAGGUUGGGCCCCUGCAGCUCAAGAGCACAACUGGGAAGACCCCUGUGCUUGAUGUUGGGACUCUUGCAAAGAUCAAAAGCGGGCACAUCAAGGUACUAUAUAGUUGAUGAAUUAGCCCUUGCUUUUGUAUUUAUUAUCUUGUUUAAUUGCCCUGAUACUUAGUAGAAUGUUUCUUUGGACCCAACUUUCACAUCUAGUACUAAUAUAGAAAGAAUCUGUUGGAGAGAUUUUCUAUAGAAUGUUUUUUCAUGAAAGCGCUAUUUGGACAGAGUAAUUUGGACAUUGCUGAAAAAAAAAAAACAUUAUAUUAAAGAAGCACAAGUAAAAGCUUCACAACUGAAAGUAGAAGUAGAAACAAAGUCAAACAUGUUUAAUUAGUUUGGUUUUUGGAAAAAAUUUUCUACUUUGAGUAAGAAGCAUGCAGUCAACUGUUUAGCACUAGAACGAAAAAUCUAAAUUGAGAACGUUCAAUAUAAAAGCAAAAGUGGCCGUAUGUUCACUUUCUUUCUUAAGAUUCUGUAUAUCUAUUCACGAUUCGCGUCCAUGAUUAACUUCAUUAAACAUUAAUUACUUGCAUGGUGUAUGAUUAAUUAUGCAAAAUUUUAACCUUACAUCUCACAUAAAGAUUUAGUUUAAUUACGUCGGUAUUGAAGUGAAAAUGAAAAUUUUUCUGAUUCGAAUAUUUUUUUUGGAAUUUUGCAGGUGGUCCCGAACAUAAACCGGUUUACGGAUAAAGGCGUGGAGUUUGUGGAUGGCAGGAAAGAAGAGUUCAACUCUGUUAUUCUAGCUACUGGGUAUAAAAGCAAUGUGCCAUCCUGGCUCAAGGUAUGCGCAAACAAAUUUCCCAACAUUAUUUAAAUUUGCAAAAUUUUUACAUCUUAAUCAAAAUAGAGGACCUUUAUAUAUAUAUAUAGAGAGAGAGAGAGAGAGAAAGAGAGAGAAAGAGAGAGAGAGAGAGAGGGAGCAGGUUUUGUGUGCUAUUAGGAGCACAGAGGCCUCCAUGCUUCUAAGCCGUUUUCGAUGACGAAACUUUCGAAUCGACAAUUGGCUCCGUUAUACUUGAUCUAGCGUAUUUAAACUAUCUAGAAAAUAAAUUUUGUAAUUUUUUGAUAUCAUUUACUUAGCGAUCGAGAGAACUCAAAAUCAACGAUUGAAAAUAAAAAUCUCACAAA